rnacentral:lncRNA from 1 species
AAGUCAUCUCCCUUUUCAUUUAGCUUACUAUGAAAAUAAUUUGAUUUAAUCGGGAUCUGGAAGUUUAUAAAGGAACGACAAUUAUUUCACUAACCAAGUAAGAGAACUUGUAUUCAAAUAGUCGAGGAGAAAAAACUGAAGACUCAAAGUUAUCUCCCUUUUUGUUUCAUAUUAUAAAAGAAUUUGAUUUGUUUAUGCUUAAGUGGAUUAGAAAUGACGAUUAUCCGACUAACCGAGUAAGAGAACUCGUAUUCAAAUAAUCGAGGAGAGGAGUUGAAGACUCAAAAACAUCUCCUUUUUCAUUUCUAAGUGAAAUAGUAGUUGAUAGUGAUUAGAUAUUUUAAUUUAAUUUUAAUAAAGAAUACUCGAUGUUGGAUGGAGGUUUAAAAUUUAUGUUUACGAAUGGAUUGGAUUUAAUUAGUGAGUAGUUCAUCUAAUCGAUUAAUUAAAACCGAAAUAGGUCUCAAUUGUAAGAAAGCCAAGAGUAAGCUAGUGAGGUUGAUGGCGAUGCCUAAAGCAAUCGACUUACAAAGGUGUUGAAAAUGGUUUGAGUUAAUCAAGUAUUGUGUAUUUUAGUGGUUUAAAAUAGUUUGUAUUGGUGAAGAAAUUUAAUGAAAUCGUUUGACAUGAUCGUGAUUUUUGUAAAGAGUGUGACAUUGUCGUGGAAUGAGAUUGAGAUGAGGUGAAGCAAAUAAUAACUCUCUAAUAAACAAAUUAAUAAUUAUAAUUGAAUUAAAAAUCAACUAUUUUAAUAUAAUAACAAAAAAUAAUAAUCACCAAGAAUCAUUUGAUUUAAACCAAUAUAUUCAAGAUAAUUAAAAUUAAUUAUUAAAAUUAAUUAAUUUAAACAAAUCUCGGUUAAUUAAUUAACUUAUUAAAAAAUGAUAGAAAUAAGUGAACCGCAAUGUGCUCAAACCGGUUAGAGCAAAAUGACAAUAUGAUUUGUGUCAUACGCGGAAUCGUAACGCGGUGAAAUGCUCUAUUAAUUUAUUGAAACUCUUGUGGUAUAACGACAUGAAAUUGCCGAAUCCACUAUUAAAAAAAAAACGAAUUAACGAAAAUCAAACUGUACAUUAUAAUCAAAAGAUUUACCAAAUUACUUAUGUGAGGAGCAAUGUUUAAUGAGCCUUACUUACAUGAAAAAAUCUCUAUUACUUAGUCUAAAUUCUAUCCUUAUAAGAAUAAGAUGCAAUAAGCAGAAUAAGUAAAAUAUAUAAUUUCUUUUUUAACAUUAAAUUUGACUAAAAUCUAUAAUACAUGUGGCAUUUAAUUUUAACAAAAGUGCAAGCCAAAAUUCUAAAACUCAACCAUCAAAAGAAUUGACUUCCUUCCAAUCCUCUCUACUUUCUCGUAAGCCAAAAAUGAAGUUUCAACAAAAAUAGCAGCAACCAAACUUCCAAAAGACUAUAACAAUCUCUCAAAAUUCAAAUAUGAAGCUACCCCCGGUAAGAAAGGGAUAAACUACCAUAAUUAAGCCUGUUAGUAGUUAGCAAUGAAGCCAUAAUUUGUAAUUCAAACAGUACAUUUAUUAAUCAACACAUGGGGCAGUUCAAAUAACCAUUGCUCAAGUAUGAAAUUAAACUUUAUGACAUAACACUGUCCCUUUGUAUCUUUUGAUUUGCUUAUAUAGUUAUAAUUCCAAAUUUCAAAUCAAAUAUGCAACAGAACUUUCUUAUCAUAAAACCAACUAAAAGGUUAAACAAAUGAAACAAAGCAAACUUAAAAUUAAAUCUAGUUUACACUAGCUCCCAAAUGGUCACAUCCAAUACUUGAGAUGAAAUACUGAAGUACGCCACACCAAACCAGAAAAAUCAAAUACGCACCGUCCUAAACCGGAUUCGGCUAUGACGCACUCAUAAACACAUCAUAUACACAUAAAUAUGGAGCAAUCAUUUAUUCAGUUCAAAUCCUUGAAUAUCAUUAAUAAAUAAUCGAAACUGAGGUACCUAUUAUUGUUACCUAAUCGUGGCGGUGGAGAUCGGCGUCGCAUUACCGGAGUUGUAAACAGAACAAGUGAAAAAAAAUGAAAGUGGAGUUUCUUGUUGAGGAGCCGGUUGUGGAAGUCACUAUAUGUUGUUGGUGUCUCGACGGAACACGGUGGAAAAUAGUGGUCCAAGACGGAAGCUGAAGAUGAUUUUUGGUGGUGUUUUGUUAUUGAAAGCGGAUCGAGUAUGACGGUUGUGUGAGGAAGAAAGGGAUGUGAGUUACGUUGUUGUAGCUUGCUUUGAAUAGCAUUUGCCUGCGAUUUCGUGGUGGCGGUAAUGAGGGUUGGGUGGUGUUUGUACGACGGUUUGUAGACGCCGGCGGUGGUCGAAGUUGGAGGUGAGAAUGGUGCAGCGAGAGUGUGGAUGACGGUUUUUUCGGUGUUGUUGAGGUAAGUGGUUGGAGGAGAAGGUCGGCGAUGGUGCCGGAAGCGAAAGGUUGUUUGAAGGAAGUUAAUGGCGGUGAUGGUGCGCGUUGUGCUGACGGAGAGAUGAUGGUUCUCGCGACGUCGAUUUGGUGUUGUGUGGCGGCGUGUGGAAGGUGUAGUCGGAGAUAAUGGUGAUUGGAAAAUGAAAGUGAGGAAGAGAGGUGUUGUCCUCUUUUUAUUUGUGUCCUUGGUGUCCUUUUUAUUUUUAUUUUCCUGUUAAAUAUGGCCAGCUGUCCCCACUAUUCGCUAUUGAGAGAGCCGUUGGAGUUCUCUAUUUUUGUCUGUUCCGUCUUCCCCUUGUUGAAAUAAUACGUGGCCACUUCUCAUAGGAAAUGAGAAGAUAUUUUUGUUAUUCUUAUUUUUUCUAAUAAUUAUUUGAAUUUUAAUUUUAAUUAGCCAAAUUGGAAUGGAUAAGGAUUGCAAAUGUUGAUCAUUGAUUAACCCUGAUCCAAUGAUCAUGGUUAACUCAAAGAAACACAUAAAGAAACACAAAUGAUUGAAUAAUUUCAAAAGCCUAAAAUGCCCUUUCUAGAUGAUUUAAUUUAUUUAAAACAAUUUAAAUCAAUUGAAUCAAAUAAAAAUUCCAACUUCAAAAAUAAGUAUGAUAAAAAUAAAAUAAGGACAUGCAAAAUUCUAUUUAUUUUUUCUGAAUAUUUUGACGAAAGAACAAAAUUAAAAACGACUAAAACUGAAUAAAUGUCGGGCGAAAAUUUGCUCGAAAAAUUAAAUUGGAUGCACUAAAAUGAUCAUCACAAAAUAUACUUACUGAAAAAAUACAGCGUUUCUUUAAAUUUUGAAAUAAAUUUUCAUCGAUUAAAAGGGUUCAGGCGGGUCAAAACGCAACCGAAACAGCCGCUGAAAAAUAUAACGGGCACACCAGGUUAAACUACGUGAACCGUAGGUUAAUAAUACUGGCGUCUGCAAUUUUAAUUUUGAAACUUUUUACCCGCUGAUUUUGCAUGUUCUUGAGAAAUGAUUUAACUGAUUUGUCUGUAUUUUCAAGAAUUUAUUCCGGCUGAUAUUUUAUGUGUUAUCCAUGAUGAAAUGCGGGUUAUAUUGUACAUAUGAUGUAAACUGAAAAUUAAAUCGAAUUUAUGAAAAUUUAAAAUGUCGGGACAAAAUUGGGGUAUGACAGUGUGCUAGCUUUAAUGCUCUCCUCUUUCAUGACCUUCAUGCAACACUCACUGAAUACUUGCCCGGACAUUAACACCGCACUCCAUCUUUCAACUCUGGUUGCGAACGUAGAAACCAACCUAUAAUAGGUCAAUCUUACCAAGGCGGUUAUCGGCAGAUUUCGAAUUCCUUUGAAUACCCCAUUCAUGCAUUCCACAAGGUUUGUUGUCAUGUGGCCCCAUCGACAACCUCCGUCAAAUGCCCUUGUCCACUGCUCUACUGGUAUGUUAUUAAGCCAUCUCCCCGCGUCUUCAUUAGACAGUCUAAUUUCAUCAUGAUAAUAUUGAAAUGACGAUUGUGUUAGAGCAUACCCAACAUUCACCACCUUCUUGCGAAGAUUCUUAUCUUUUAUAGCACGCAUGAAAUUUUGUGUAAUGUGUCUGAUGCAAUAGACAUGGGUAGAAGGAGGAUCAUGCCAUCCGUUGUCAUGGUUGUUGUAGGCACUCUCAAUGGCAACAUGUAUAUCAGAAAUCAAACAGAGAUUGGCUUGUGGAGCCACAUGCGUUCUGAGAUGUCGAAGAAAGAAACCCCAUCCACCAGCCGUUUCACCUUCAACAAGAGCGAAGGCAAUGGGAAAGACAUUGUUGUUGCCGUCUUGUGCAACCGCCAUGAGCAAACUACCCUUGUAUUUGUCGUAUAACCAAAUGCCAUCAAUUUGAAUAAUAGGUUUGCAGAAUGUGAAACCUUUGAUGCACGGGUCAAAUGCCCAAAAGAGACGGUGAAAGAUUCUAUUACUUGUAGCACAGGUUCUGUCUGGCAUCAUCGCUGGCAAUGUCUCCAUAAUUGCCACAGUUUCUGGGACAUAUGUUUUUAGUGCCCAUAAAAACCGUGGCAAUUCCUUAUAUGAAUCCUCCCAGUUGCCGAAAAAGUUGUUCAACAGCCUUUGUCCUCGUAAUCCAGGCUUUCUUGUAAGAUGGAGUAUAAUUAUAUGUUGUUCUGAUAUGGGAUAUAAUUAUACUCACCUUCACGGAUGGGUCUUUAUUAACCAACGGCAGAAUGUCUUGACAUAUCAACGCUACGCUUAGUUUGCGGUGAUCUUGUUCAACGUUAGUUGCAAUGCAACUAUGAGGUGGGUCUAUUAAAGCGAUCUCCCAAGAGUCGUUUUUCUUUUUGUAAGACGCAGCCAAACAAAACUUACAAAGCAUGUUACGACAUCGAUAACAUACCUUCUAGAAUCAGUGUGUUUCACUGUAAAAUUAGCAGAGUUGUUCAUGUGGAAUUUUUUGAUAGCCAAAACACAUUCUUCUUUGGUACGAAACAUGUCUCCCACCUUUAAUUCGCCUUCUGAUGUUGGAUACGGAUUAUAGAAAACACUGUUGGAUGUUUCAUCAUCGUGCAGAUCCAUAUUUGUCAUAUGUUGACGCGGAUUAUAGACAUGAGUAUGAGGUAUUGGUGGUGGUUGAUCAUCAUCUUCAAUGUCGUUGUUCAGUAUGUGAUCAACCUGUAUCUCGGUCUCCUCUGCUUCUUCAUCAACGACGUCCACUUCUGCUUCUGCUUCUGGGUUGAUGUCAUCUGACCAUUGUGGAUCAAAUUCACCAUAUUCAUUCUGACUGGUUAUUUGAGACUGUUGAGAUGGUAUACAUGGUUGAAGAGUAAUGUACAACUCAAUAUAGUUGCAGCCUGAAUGUUCAUGACUAACAAACAUGUAUUCAACAUCUUCAUCGUCUCAUACCUUAAGGGGGAAAAACCUGCAUUGACUAUUCUAAAAAAGAUAUUGAAUUUUGAUACGUCAUCUUUGACACAAUACCCGUUCCCAAACCUCACAAAACCAAAACAUCCAACAACCUUAUCUCUACCAAACACCCCAACAACCUUUCCAACAUUUCCUCGAUGCAUCGUUCACACCCAUGUCUCCCUUCAACCGUCCCGGUCGCCCAUCAAUGAGUUAACCACAACCCAACUUCUCGGGCAUGGGUCAUGAGCUCAACUACGACGGUACACCAUCGAUGCAUACUGAAGACUAUGUCGACUUGUCUGACUACCUCAACAGGCCUUCUCCUGUAGUUGGAAGUGACGUUCCUGGCCCCUCAGAUGCUCAAACACCGGUACCGAAUCAUCAAUGUGGGUUAGGGCCACGGGUUAGGGUAGCUAGAGGAUGUGGGACCGGAGGUCGGUUAGGUGAUCCCGGUCAUCACCAUUAGGUUUCUUUGUGUAAACGGCAAAUUUUAUUAAUAUCAAUUUGUCCUAUAUCAAAUUUAUCUAUCACGUAUACCAUUUACCAAAAAAAAUAUCAUUUUACACCGAGGCUCCUAUUAAAUUGGCGCCUCCUCUUAAGUACUACACAGGGGCGCCAAUCCAAUUGGCUAGGGAACCUGCCCUAACCAAUCCAAUCGGCGCCUCCAUUCAAGUAUUUAAGAGGAGGCACCAAUUGAAUUGGCGCCUCCUCCUAAAAGUGGGGUAGUUAAGGAUUUUUUUUGAAACCAGGGGUAUUUUGGGAAUUUCCUUGAAAAAGUGGGUUAUUUUUGUAAAAAAUUCUCUCUCCCUCUCCCUCUCCCUCUCUCUCUCUCUCUCUCUCUCUCUCUCUCUCUCUCUCUCUCUCUCUCUCUCUCNNNNNNNNNNNNNNNNNNNNNNNNNNNNNNNNNNNNNNNNNNNNNNNNNNNNNNNNNNNNNNNNNNNNNNNNNNNNNNNNNNNNNNNNNNNNNNNNNNNNNNNNNNNNNNNNNNNNNNNNNNNNNNNNNNNNNNNNNNNNNNNNNNNNNNNNNNNNNNNNNNNNNNNNNNNNNNNNNNNNNNNNNNNNNNNNNNNNNNNNNNNNNNNNNNNNNNNNNNNNNNNNNNNNNNNNNNNNNNNNNNNNNNNNNNNNNNNNNNNNNNNNNNNNNNNNNNNNNNNNNNNNNNNNNNNNNNNNNNNNNNNNNNNNNNNNNNNNNNNNNNNNNNNNNNNNNNNNNNNNNNNNNNNNNNNNNNNNNNNNNNNNNNNNNNNNNNNNNNNNNNNNNNNNNNNNNNNNNNNNNNNNNNNNNNNNNNNNNNNNNNNNNNNNNNNNNNNNNNNNNNNNNNNNNNNNNNNNNNNNNNNNNNNNNNNNNNNNNNNNNNNNNNNNNNNNNNNNNNNNNNNNNNNNNNNNNNNNNNNNNNNNNNNNNNNNNNNNNNNNNNNNNNNNNNNNNNNNNNNNNNNNNNNNNNNNNNNNNNNNNNNNNNNNNNNNNNNNNNNNNNNNNNNNNNNNNNNNNNNNNNNNNNNNNNNNNNNNNNNNNNNNNNNNNNNNNNNNNNNNNNNNNNNNNNNNNNNNNNNNNNNNNNNNNNNNNNNNNNNNNNNNNNNNNNNNNNNNNNNNNNNNNNNNNNNNNNNNNNNNNNNNNNNNNNNNNNNNNNNNNNNNNNNNNNNNNNNNNNNNNNNNNNNNNNNNNNNNNNNNNNNNNNNNNNNNNNNNNNNNNNNNNNNNNNNNNNNNNNNNNNNNNNNNNNNNNNNNNNNNNNNNNNNNNNNNNNNNNNNNNNNNNNNNNNNNNNNNNNNNNNNNNNNNNNNNNNNNNNNNNNNNNNNNNNNNNNNNNNNNNNNNNNNNNNNNNNNNNNNNNNNNNNNNNNNNNNNNNNNNNNNNNNNNNNNNNNNNNNNNNNNUAUAUAUAUAUUACAUGUUUGAUAAAUUUAUAUAUUUGGAAUUUAGUUUGCUCUAAUGCCAUUUACAUGAGCUUAUGGAGAGUAAAAUUAGUUUUGAUGUUGAACUUUUUUUAAUCAGCAAAAAAAUUAUUUGUUCAAUGAAACAUGAAAAAUUCUCCAUGGCAAAACCUAAAGUCAGCAAAAAAAUUAUUUGUUCAAUGAAACAUGAAAAAUUCUCCAUGGCAAAACCUAAAGUCACAUUAAAAAAAAUUACAACUUCUUUCGACUAUAAUUUUUCAUAGAAAAAUUACAAUCUCUCUAUUGUACAAUUGCCAAAAUUCUAUUACACCCAAGACUAGAAAUAUUGUGGUGAAAAAAAUUUGAAUUAUUAUAUUUUUUUAAUUAGUUUUGUGGUUAAAAUUCACUCUAAACAAAUGAAAUAUCGUGAAUUUGAACUCGCACUCUUGCAUUCAAUGUUUCUACAUAGCUAUCAACUAAAUUAAUUUAACGAAGUCGAAUUAACUUUUUAUAUUUAUACUAUUAUUCCACCUUAUUUUUCUUCCCAAUAUUCAACGUUAGAAUGAAUAUUCAAUUUUGGACAAUAUAUCCUCCCUUUUAUCCAAAGUCUUCUCUUCAAAAAAUAAAAGAUCAUUCUCAUAACUAAUAUAUUUAUAAAAUAAAUUCUUUUUAAUUUUUGUGUAUUCUCUUUUAGAUCCUGCAAAUCCUCUAUUAACUUUAGACGUAUACAGAUCUAACCCGAUUUGAUAUGGGUUAGAAAGAAACUCACGCUUCUCUCUAACUCCACCACUACCACUAAAAGAAACCCUAAAUCACUUUUAUUUCUAAAGUUCAUCAUCGGGGCUUCUCUUUUACUUAUACCAGUUUCCAUGGAGUGGCAAAAAGUUCAAAGGAGAGGAUUAAGAAUGAAGUUCAUUAAAAAAUGUGACUCAUUUCCAGCAGGAAGAAGGGGUGGUGAAGAUGUGGAGGUUCGUAUAUCGUCGGUUUUCUUUUUGGAUUUCCUGGAUCGUCUCAAGGCUUCUAAUUUGUUCAUUAUUUUUUAUAGUUUUAGCAAUCUUGAGGAAGUUGUAAUUUCUCCAAAAAGGAAUAAGCUUGGGAAAAGUUUCGGUUUUGCGAGGUUCAAAGACGCUGAAUAUGAUAGAUUACUUGCAGUUAAACUGGAUAAUAUCAUCAUUGAUGGAAAAAAAAUCCAUGCAAACAUAUUUAGGUUUCAAAGAAAUCACGCGAAUUCUAGGGAAGGAGGAAAUGGAAAAAAGUUUCGAGAGAGACCUUCGAGUUCUAAAAUUUUAGGGUUUCAACCCAGAAGGAAGAUAGAUAGUAACGAAAUGUUGACAAGAGAUCUUUUGCAAAGGUGGCGAACAAUAUAAUCACUCCAUUUGAUUCGUUUAUCAGGAAACCUAAUGUCCUUUUGAAUUACAAUUCUAAGAAGAAAGAACUAGCAAGAUUCAAGAAGGCCUUUAUGGAUAUUAUGGUCAAUCCUGUAAUGUAUUAUAAUAUUCAAACAAGUUUUAAAAUAGAAGGGUAUUUUACCAUUAAAGUCACCCCUCUAGGAGUAAAUUUGUGUUUAUUGGAAGAAUGUGAAGAAGGAGAAAUUAGAGACCUGCUCAGGGAAUACAGGAGUUAGGGGAGUCAAUGGUUCACUGAAAUAAGGGAAUGGAGGGAAGAGGAUGUAGGCAAGGAACAAAAUUACAUGGCUAAGUGCUUUGGCAUUCAAUGUCAUGUGUGGAACACCCCUUUCUCUGAGUUUUUGGCAAACACGGUCGAGACUUACAUUUGUUCAGGUGAAAAUAUGUUAAAGUCGGAUUGCAUGGAUGUUGCAAGGUUCUUGGUUAGGACUGGGUGUGCUAUGGUGCUUAAUGAGACUUUCAAUAUCAAGAUCAAUGAAGAAACGUUCAGAAUAGAGAUGACAUGUUGAUUCUUAGUGUUGGCAGCAAUUUUGGUAAAACAAAGAGUGUUCACAAGAUGUUAUGUGUGAUGUCUUAACAUAAGAUGUCCUAUGUACCUGCUGGAGUUCAAGAACAUGUUCAUGCAGGAUUGUUUCAGAAUUCCAUAUACAAUGCCAUGGCUUCUGAUAUUGUAUGUACCUGCUGGAGUUCAAGAACAUGUUCAUGCAGGAUUGUUUCAGAAUGCCAUAUACAAUGCCAUGGCUUCUGAUAUUAGAUGUACCUGUUGGAGCUUAAAUGAAAGACAUGUUCAUGCAGGAUUGUUUCAAGAUGUCAAACACAAGGUUAUGGCAUCUGAUAUGGUUGUACCUGCUGGAAGUUAUAAAAGGAAUUAUUGAAUUAUGCAGGAUUUUUCCAGGAUGUCAGACCCGAUGUCAUGACAUCCUGUACACAGAACAUUCAUUGUGAAUGUCUGGUGUUUUGUGAUUGCACAAUUAAUGACAAUCUAUGUAUGAUUGAAGAUCUGAUUAGCUGGCGCAUUCAAUCAUGGAUUACAACCUGAUUUACUUAUUUUCCAAGGAGAUCUAACCAGUUGUUAUAAAAAGAUUUGAUUGGAAAAUAGAUUUAGGAGUGGAAAAGGUAACAAAAAUAUUGUCUGGUCCAAUUAAAAAGAAAGAGCCACAUUAAAUAAUGAAUUCAUUCCCUUAGUUAUUGGAAAAUAGGUAUCUAUUCCAUUUGCACGCUCACCCUUGAACACAACUCUUUUCAUCUUCAUUCAAACUACUUCAAGAGAACCUCUGCUAGCAAAUAAAUUUUCCUCAAAAGAUUUCAACAAACAUGUCUCAACAUCCAUCAUCAUCUAGCUCAAAACCCUUUCAUACAAGACUCCCUCCAUGGGAGUUUCUAGAUGAAGAUUUGACAUGGACGUGGACUCUCUCUGCGUUAUGAUUACCAGGUACGCCCAGACCCCUCUUCCAUGGCUGGAACUAAGCAAAGGUAACAUUCCUAAAAAAUCUACCUAUAAAGAGGACAUGCAUUUUACUGAUCGCACCUAGAAACCUAGUUACUAGAUUUCGAAUGAAGAACAUGGAGUGAAGGAUUAUUUUACCCCUUUGUCAGAAGGGACCCCUCUCCUAGGGUUGGGAAACCCAAGCUGAGAAAGAAUGAUGACUCAUCUAAAACAGAAAGGAGUAGUGCUGAACGGGAUUAUAGUCAUCUUGGGAAAAAUUUUACCUAGCGGAAAAAGAAACCAACUGCAAUGUACUCCUAAUCUGCCCGAGGGAUAGUAAAUUGAUUGGAGGAAGAAAGCUCAGAGGAAGAGAGAGGACACUUUUGGUUCCACAUGUAGAAACCAAGUCGCUGCUAGGAAAUUGAAGACUAGGAAAGGAAAAACCAUGGCUGAAAUGAUGGCCAUCCAGGACUAGGAGAAGACUGCUGGUCGUCAGGACCCUCAAACCAAUGGAGCAAAGGGUGAGAUUACAGAAGAGGAAAGAAAGUAGAGUUCUGAGCUGCUGAUCUGUAGGAUGUCGAAGAACGGAUUGUUCCAAGCAUCUCCCCGCAAAAAAGGCAGCUGUUAAGAAGUGUCCAGGCAAAGCUGCAGUUGUACAUUUAAGGACAACAUCUCUUUUCACUAGAAGGACGGAUUGCUGCUAAAUGAAAGUUUAUCAUUUUAGAGGAGGAGGAAGCGGUGAGCAGGAAGCUGGAAAAGAGGGCUGUUGAAAGUAAAGGAAGUCAUGGAUAUUCCAUUCAAGAAUGCUGGAUUAGGAUAAAAGAUUGUGGUUGCUUCUGCCCCAAUGCUAUGAGGGGUUGUGUGAAAGAAAUUAUAUGUAAAUAUCCCUUGGAGGAGAUUUCUGAAAGCAAAGCAGCAGGGAAUUUUGCAAAGUUUUUGUAAGAAGUAAGGUGUGUGAGAUUCUCACCAACCAUCAUCAACAUGUUCCUAGGAGAAGGAACUGAUGGAGGAAUGGAUCUUAAGACUACAGACAAUGAGGUCUGAUAGGCUCAUCUACAAGCCUGACCAAGUUAUAGGAAUGUUCCUCAGUAGCGAAUAACCUUUCAGCUAGCAAGCGUAACUGUCAAAUAUGCCAUACUUGCACAAGAUAUGCUAUCAGCUAAAUUAGGUGACCUUACCAACCAUAUCCUCUACCAUCUCCACAUCAGUCUUGGAAGAAGUUCAUUCAUGCAAUUUGGAACCAAGAUAAAACUAUGGACUUUGAAAGUUCAUAUUUGUGAUACAACCAUUCAAACAUGCCUCCACAAAUGCUGUGAAGUUACCCAUUCCUUCCCAUUCCAAUAUUUGUGGGUACUUUCUUUGCAGUCAACAACCACUGGCAUACUCAAGCAAAUUGACAUUCCAAGCAGAAGAAAACCCCCUAUAUCACAUUCAUUAUAAGCUGUUUGAGGGAAAGUCAUGUCAAUGAUGUUGUCAUGCAUCUUGCCAAAAGGGAGGCUACAUCUCAAGGGGCUUUAAUUGACCAACUAAAGAUACCUGCAAAGAAAUUAAGAGCGAUGGUAUAAGGCGUGGCCAAGGCAAGAAAAGAAACCUUGGAAGUUCUUAUCUGCCAAGAGCUGGGAAAGAAGAAAUAGAGGAAGGCUGGUAAGUAUUCAAAUGCAAAAAAAGCCAAUGCAGUGCGCAAGCUCUGAAAGACUCUGAAGACUCUGGAAGUUUGUGAAGGUGAAGGUGAUACUUCUUCUUCUGAUUAAUGGUUCCCUCCUGUGUUGAGACUGAAGCCUGUAAGGCCUGUGUUGGGAAGAUUCGACUGUCUUGAGCUGAUUUGGCUGUUUUGGAAGACUGAAGUUUUUUGUUUCUUUUGAAAAAAUGCUGUAUUUGUGGCAGUGUCCUCAUUGAUGCCUAUUUGUGUAAGUAUUUUGGGCUCUAAUAUGAGUUCCUUUGGUAUUGUUCUUAUAUCUCAGCUUCACAGUUGUGUUAUGAUGAGUGGUUAUACUGCCUUAAUCUAUUAUGUUUUAACAUGUUUAGGAUGUUUAUAACAAUCUUGUUCCUAACAUUCUCUGUUAGACUAAUUGACAUUUAUUUGGUCUAUUGGUCAACUUUGUCAAUUUUGACUAAAAAAGGGAGAGAAGAAGUGUUGAUGUGGAAUCGACGGAAGCAGUUGUGGAGCUGGUGAGUUGUAUGUAUAGCUGAACUGAAGGACAAACUAUUAUUGAAGGAAGCGCACAAGGUGUUAAAACAGAAUGUUGUUCUGUUUACUGAUGUCAAGGAUGAUGUCUGAAUUAUGGUGCACAGGUGUUGAUGAUGAAGCAGAUGUCAGAAUGACAUUCUAGGCUGGUAACAGUGUGCUGAGUUACAGUUAGCUGUUAUUUGUUGUAUGCCACAGAUUUAGGGGGAGAAGGAGUACCUUGUGAAUUUGCCUUGAUGUGUCUUACUAGUGCAUCCAUAACUAGUAAUUCUGUUUUUUUGGUUUGCACAGAUUUAAGGGGAGGAGAAGUAUACCCUUGGUGAAUGUGUGUAUUACUAGAUAUCUAUAAGCUAGUUAAUUGUUGUUGCUUCGCUGCUGUUUAAACUACUGUUAUGUUGUUUAACUGGCUGAUAUUUUUACCUUGUUGAACAAAAGGACAAUAUACUGUUUUAGCCAAAAAUUGCAAAGGGGAGGUUCUAACGCCUCAGGAGCCCUGGGAGAAAAGAUGACAGAUGAAAAACUGGUAAGGAAAAUACUUAGGUCACUCCCUAAGAGAUUUGCAAUGAAGGUGACUGCCAUAGAAGAGUCUCAAGACAUCUCCAACAUGAGGGUUGAUGAGCUAAUUGGUUCCCUCCAAACCUUUGAAAUGGGAUUAAAUGAUGGUUCUGAGAAGAAAACCAGAAGCAUUGCCUUCAUAUCAAACACAGAAGAUAAAAAUAGUCAGAAUGUUGAUGAAGAUUUGACCAAUGAAGUUGCAAUGCUGGGGAGACAGUUCCACAGAUUGUUAAACAAGAUGGAUGUAAGAUCCAAGGCAAAUGUCAAGAACAUCUCAUCUGACAUCAACAAUGAAAGAAGAGCAAGGUCAGAUGAAAAGCCCAAAGAAGGAAAAGAAGUAAAGUGUUAUGAAUGUGAUGGGUAUGGACACAUUAGAACUGAAUGUGGAACAUAUCUCAAGAAGAAGAAGAUGAGUCUUGCUGCCACCUGGUCAGAUGAGAGUGAUACAGAGGAGGCUGCAAAUCUGGUGACUGCUCUGACAGGAAAAUGGGGUUCUGAUGGAGACUCAAGUGAUGAAGAAGUGACCUUUGAAGAGUUGGCCUCUACCUACAGAAAGUUGUGCCACAAAAGUGUAGAGCUGUGUAAAUAGGUUGAAAACCAGAAGAAGGGGAUAACUCGACUUGAGAAAGAGAAGGUAGAACAAUUGGAAACCAUCUCCAAAUAAAAAACAGAAGAAGUGGCUCUGAAGGUCAAGCUAGAUGAAAGUCAACAAGCUUAAAGCCAGAAGAUAGUACAGCUGGAGAAUGAAAAUGCUGAAGAUGUGGAAACCAUCUCCAAGUUAAAAACAUAAGCUUUAUGCUUGAACUCAAAACUAGAAGAGAUGAUCAAGUAUGUAAGGAUGUUAAAUAAUGGAUCUGACUCCUUAAACAAGAUUCUCCAAACUGGACUAAUCAUAGGAGACAAAUCUGGAAUAGGAUAUAAUAAAUCCAAGGUUGAUAUCAGUUACACUAGUUACAAACCUCAAGCCAAACCUAAAUGCAGCAAUAGUAAGAGCAGUCCUGAGAUGUCACAACAUCAGAGGAAAUCUGGAAUAGGAUAUAAUAAAUCCAAGGUUGAUAUCAGUUACACUAGUUACAAACCUCAAGCCAAACCUAAAUGCAGCAAUAGUAAGAGCAGUCCUGAGAUGUCACAACAUCAGAGGAGAAGACAGCAGAAAAGGAAACACCAAAGAUGGAAAUGCCAUUACUGUGGGAAAUUUGGUCACCUAAAGCCUUUCUGCUAUAAGCUAUAUGGUUACCCUACCCCUGUUCAUCAUCAAAAUCUCUAUCAACCCAGACCCAAACAACACAGACCUAUCAUCAAGAAGAAAUGGGUUCCUAAGACUAAUGUUACAAGUCUAAUAGCUUACAUUCCCCUCGGAGUCUCAGCCAAAGAAGAUUGGUACUUUGAUAGUGGAUGUUCCAGACAUAUGACUGGAAACCAAGACCUGCUAACUGACCUGCAACAUUAUACCAUAAGCCAUGUAACCUUUGGAGAUGGAGUAGAAGGUGAAAUCAAUGGAACAGGUAAGCUUGACUGUCCUAGAUUUCCUGAACUUGACAAGGUUCUACUUGUUAAGGGUUUAACUGCAAAUUUAAUCAGCAUCAGUCAACUAUGUGAUCAAGGCCUGAAUGUCAACUUUACUAAAACUGAUUGUCUGAUUAGUAACAAGGACAAUGAAGUGAUUAUGAAAGGAAUCAGGACCAAAGACAAUUGUUACAUGUGGAUCUCUUAAUUGGAUCAUUCCUCAAAGUGCACCUAUGUCAAAAAGGAAGGGAUGAAGAUAAGUACAGCUGCUAGAAGAAUCCUCAAGAGUAAUGAAAGCCAAGCCUGUGGGAAAUGUCAGACAAGGAUGUCACACCAGAAGCUCAUACUUAACCUUACUCUCAAGGGAGAAAAGGCCAUGAUGGCCCAAAUAGCUGAGAGGUUAGAUCAAAUAGGUGGACAUGUGACUAGUUAUAUGCAGUCUGAUAUUGAAGAGAGCUUUCUUGGAACUGAGCCACAAGGGGCUAUGUAUGCCAAGAACAAUAUGAUAAAGAGUGAUAGGACUCCUGAUCCUACACAGGUAAAAGAUAAAAAUGAUGUUGAUGAUGAAAGUAUAUCAGAUGAAAGCAGCUAUUCUCAACUAGGUCGGAUGAAACUACUGAUAAUUGCAUACAAUGUCACACACGAUGUCAUGACAUUGUAUUAUGACAACCUGUAUGUUGCAACUAUGUCCAAAAAUCAUAUUCAGCACAGCUGGACCAAGUACAUUAUUUAUUGUCAUCACUCAAUUAGAAAAUAUGUGGAAAACAAAUUCAUAGUUCUACAACAUGAAAUACAACUAACUGACAAGGUUGCAAGGGAGUUGGAUGAUAUCCAACUUGAAUAUGUAAGGGGGAAAUUAGGGACUUGGAUUCUUGAGAAAACAUGGCAAUUAAUGUGGAGUGGAAAAGGUAACAAAAAUAUUGUCUGUCCAAUUAAAAGAAAGAGCCACAUUAAUAAUGAAUCAUUCCCUAGUAUUGGAAAUAGUAUCUAUUCCAUUUGCACGCUCUACCUGAACACAACUCUUUUCAUCUUCAUCAAACUACUCAGAGAACCUCUGCUAGGGCAAAUAAAUUUUCCUCAAAAGUUCAACAACAUGUCUCAACAUCCAUCAUCAUCUAGCUCAAAACCCUUUCAUACAAGAACUCCCUCCAUGGAGUUUCUAGAUGAAGAUUUGAUGGACGUGACUCCUCUGCGUAUCAUACAAGAACUCCCUCCAUGGAGUUUCUAGAUGAAGAUUUGAUGGACGUGACUCCUCUGCGUAUGAUACCAGGUGACGUCCCAGACCCCUCUUCCAUGGCUGGAACUAAGCAAGGUAACAUUCCUAAAAAAUCUCCUGAUAAAGAGGACAUGCAUUUUACUGAUCGCACCAUAAGAAACCUAGUUACUAGGAUUCUGAAUGAAGAACAUGGAGUGAAGGAUAUUUUUACCCCUUUGUCCAGAAGGGACCCCUCUCCUGAGGUGGAAACCCAAGCUGAGAAAGAUGAUGACUCAUCUAAAACAGAAAAGGAAGUAGCUGCUGAGGGAUUAUGUUCUCUUGGGAAAAUUUUACCUAGCGAGAAACCAACUAGCAUGUCUCCUAAUACUGCCGAGGAUAGUAUUGAUUUGGAGGAAGAAAGCUCAGAGGAAGAGGAGGACACUUUGGUUCACCAUGUGAAACCAAGUGCUGCUAGGAAAUUGAAGACUAGGAAAGGAAAAACCAUGGCUGAAAUGAUGGCAUCCAGGACUAGGAGGAAGACUGCUGGUGUAGGACCCUCCAAACCAUGGAGCAAGGUUGAGAUUAAGAAGAGGAAAGAAAGUAAGAGUUCUGAGUCUGAUGAGGAUGUCGAAGACGAUGUUCCAGACAUCUCCCCUGCAAAAAGGCAGGCUGUUAAGAAGUGUCCAGGCAAAGCUGCAGCUGUACAUUUAGACAACAUCUCUUUUCACCUAGAAGACGGUGCUGCUAAAUGGAAGUUUAUCAUUUAGAGGAGGGUAGCGGUUGAGAGAGAGCUGGGAAAAGAGGCUGUUGAAGUAAAGGAAGUCAUGGAUUUCAUCAAGAAUGCUGGAUUGAUAAAGAUUGUGGUUGCUCUGCCCCAAUGCUAUGAGGGGUUGGUGAAAGAAUUUAUUGUAAAUAUCCCUGAGGAGAUUUCUGAAAGGAGCAGCAGGGAAUUUUGCAAAGUUUUUGUAAGAGGUAGGUGUGUGAGAUUCUCACCAACCAUCAUCAACAAGUUCCUAGGGAGAGGAACUGAUGGAAGUUUUUGUAAGAGGUAGGUGUGUGAGAUUCUCACCAACCAUCAUCAACAAGUUCCUAGGGAGAGGAACUGAUGGAGGAAUGGAUCUAGAGACUACAGACAAUGAGGUCUGUAGGAUCAUUACAGCUGACCAAGUUAAGGAAUGUCCUAGUAGGAAUCACCUUUCAGCUAGCAAGCUAACUGUCAAAUAUGCCAUCUUGCACAAGAUUGGCUCAGCUAAUUGGGUGCCUACUAACCAUAUCUCUACCAUCUCCAUCAGUCUUGGAAGAGUCAUUCAUGCAAUUGGAACCAAGAUAAACUAUGACUUUGGAAAGUUCAUAUUUGAUCAAACCAUCAAACAUGCCUCCACAAAUGCUGUGAAGUUACCCAUUGCCUUCCCAUCCAUUAUUUGUGGUACUUUCUUGAGUCAACAACCACGCAUACUCAAUGCAAAUGACAUUCCAAGCAGAAGAAAACCCCCUAUAUCCAUUCAUUAUAAGCUGUUUGAGGGAAGUCAUGUCAAUGAUGUUGUCAUGACAUCUGCCAAAAGGGAGGCUACAUCUCAAGGGAGCUUAAUUGACCAACUAAAAGAUACCUGCAAAGAAUUAGAGGAUGGUAUAAGGGUGGCCAAGGCAAGAAAAGAAACCUUGGAAGUUCUUAUCUGCAGGCUGGAAAAGGAAGAAAUAGAGAAGGCUGGUAAGGAUUCAAAUGCAAAAGCCCAAUGCAGUGGCAGCUCUGAAAGCUCUGAAGACUCUGAAGGUGAAGGUGAAGGUGAUACUUCUUCUUCUGAUUAAUGGUUCCCUCCUGUGUUGAAGACUGAAGCCUGUAAGGUGUGUUGGGAAGAUUGAUGUCUUGGAAGCUGUUCUGCUGUUUGGAAGACUGAAGUUUUUUUGUUUCUUUUGAAAAAUGUGUAUUUUGUGGCAGUCCUCAUUGAUGCCUAUUUGUAAUAUUUUGGGCUCUAAAUGAGUUCCUUGGAUUUGUUCAUUAUCUCAGCUAUCACAGUUGUGUAUGAUGAUGGGUUAUACUGCUUAACUAUUAUGUUUUAACAUGUUUAAUGUUAUAACAUCUGUCCUAACAUUCUCUGUUAGACUAAUUGACAUUUAUUUUGUCUAAUUGGUCACCUUUGGUCAAUUUUGACUAAAAAGGGGGAGAAGAAGUGUUGAUGUGGAAUGAGGAAGCAGUUGUGGAGUGGUGAGUUGUAUGUAGCUGAACUGAAGGACAACUAUUAUUGAAGGAAGCGCACAAGUGUUAAAACAGAAUGUUGUUCUGUUUACUGAUGUCAAAGAUGAUGUCUGAUAUGGUGCACAGGUGUUGAUGAUGAAGCAGAUGUCAGAAUGACAUUCUGGCUGGUACAGGUGCUGGAGUUACAGUAGCUGUUAUUUGUUGUAUGCACAGAUUUAGGGGGAGAAGGAGUACCCUUGUGAAUUUGUGUGUCUUACUAGUUGCAUCCAUAACUAGUAAUUCUGUUUUUGUUGCACAGAUUUAGGGGGAGGAGAAGUACCCUUGUGCAUGUGUGUAUUACUAGUAUCUAUAAGCUAGUAAUUGUGUUGCUUCUGCUGCUGUUUAAACUACUGUUAUGUUGUUUAACUGCUGAUAUUUUACCUUGUGAACAAAAGGGACAAAUAUAUGUUUUAGCCAAAAUUUGCCAAAGGGGAGUUUGUUGAUUCUUAAUGUUGGCAGCAAUUUUGGUAAAACAAAGAGUGUUCACAAGAUGUUAUGUGUGAUGUCUUAACAUAAGAUGUCCUAUGUACCUGCUGGAGUUCAAGAACAUGUUCAUGCAGGAUUGUUUUAGAAUGUCAUAUACAAUGCCAUGGCUUCUAAUAUUGUAUGUACCUGCUGGAGUUCAAGAACAUGUUCAUGCAGGAUUGUUUCAGAAUGCCAUAUACAAUGCCAUGGCUUCUGACAUUGGAUGUACCUGCUGGAGCUUAAAUGAAAGACAUGUUCAUGCAGGAUUGUUUCAAGAUGUCAAACACAAGGUUAUGGCAUCUGAUAUGGUUGUACCUGCUGGAAGUUAUAAAAGGAAUUAUUGAAUUAUACAGGAUUUUUCCAGGAUGUCAGACCCGAUGUCAUGACAUCCUGUACACAGAACAUUCAGUGUGAAUGUCUGGUGUUUUGUGAUUGCACAAUUAAUGGCAAUCUAUGUAUGAUUAAAGAUCUGAUUAGUUGGCGCAUUCAAUCAUGGAUUACAACCUGAUUUACAUAUUUCUAAGGAGAUCUAACCAGUUGUUAUAAAAAGAUUUGAUUGGAAAAUAGAUUUAGGGUUUUCAAGAUGUCCAAGCCCAGCUGAAUGCUUCUAUAAAAAGGGACUUAGAAAACCUGUUUUACAACACAACCAAUACUGAGCGAAAUAUAGUCAGAGAGCUAGGUUUUUUGUGUCUUUUAGUCGUAAGACUUGUAAGCCAUUCAAGUCAUCUUUUGAUGAUUGAAUUGGACUGAUUUGUGGUUGUAAUUUGUCACUCUAAAGCUGUUAAGCAAGAGUGUGUAUCUACUUGAUCAAAGCUGUGAAGCAAGACCAAGUGUGUGUCUUCUUGAUCAAAGCUGUGAAGUAAGAUCAAGAGUGUGUCUUCUUGAUUGAAACUGUGAAGUAAAAUCAAGAGUGUUUUAUUGAAAAGUGUUUUCUUUUCACCAAGGAUUGUUGUUUAAGAUCACAGGUGUGAUUGUAGGGAAGUGAGUGGGUUCUCAUAUCUAAGAGUGCUUAGGUAGAAAUUUCAUGGGUAGAGAUUAGGUGAGAAAGACUGUAACUUGUUGAAGUGUACGAAGAGUCUUUGAACUGAUUCUAUUGUAGUGAAUUUCCUUCCUGGCUUGGUAGCCCCCAGACGUAGGUGAGUUGCACCGAACUGGGUUAACAAUUGCUUGUGUCUUUUGCUUUACCUUUUUAUAUCUUUCUUCUGUUAGUGUAAUUCAGAUAUUAGUGUCGUGACAUUACAUUCGACAUCUCAUAUCUGAUACCAGAAUAUCAUGGCAGAAGAUUCUCAUUGACCCAUGCGAAUUUCUUUAAAACAACCGUAAUAGAAGAAGCAGAUUUUAGAGAUAACUUAAGAUUCUGAUAGCAGAUGAAGUAAUCAUAAUAAAGUGGAUGUAUAAGACUGGUUAUCUGAGAAAAGCCCUAUAAAUUCUACAUAAGGAGUUGAAGAGGGUUUCCUUCCCAAGGAAGACGAUGAAGCCAUUCUGGAAACAUCAGGAAAGGUAGAUUUUGGAAGAUAUGGUGUGGAUUCUCUUCAAAAGGUGGAAAAAAGAAGUAUCUGCAGUGAUUUCUAUGCAGUUAUAAAGGCUGCUAAGGUAGCUAUAGUAGAAAAUUUAAUCACUAUGGGGACACACAAGGGCAAUAAAUCUAAGGAACCUACAGGGAAAGGAAAUAGUUAUUCAGUGGACACUUUUUUUCAAGUCAAUUACGUGGAAAAGGAAAAUGGGUCGGUUAAAAGAGUAAGAAAAUAUAAGGUUAGAAUUGUAUAUGAGGUUGUUGGGUCUAAUGUAGUUAAGUAGAUCAAGCCCAAGAAGCAUUCAUUGGUAGAAGUAGAUAUAAAGAGCACAAGACCUUCAAAAGACAAAUCAGAUUUAGUUUCUCAACCUUCUUUCUUCAUAUCUUGAGUAAACCUAAACCAAAAUCUAGACCUAAGUCCUCAUCACUUUGCAAUGUGAAGUCUGUAGCCGAUGAGGACAAUGAUAUAUUUUCAGCAUGAGUUAUUUGGUAUUGUGAUCAGACAUCGGAUUCGUACAUUCUUCAAUGCAAUUUCAAGUUCUGGGAGAAUAUGGAAUCCAAUGUUUGGGGAAAGGUGUGGAAGGAUAUCUCUAAUAUAGGAAUAGAUCCCAAAGAUAAGUUGAAAGACUACAAGAAGAAGAUAGCAAAAAUGGAGGAGAAGGACAGAGAAAGAAAAAUAGGCAAAAAUUAGCAAAUCAACUCACAAUCAUGAUUACUAGUUCACUUAAUAUCAAAGGAGGAGGCAACAUUUCAAAAAGAUGAAGAAUCAGUCAAUUAAUCUCAUUGGGUAAAGCUGGGAUUUUCUUCAUUCAAGAAUCUAAGUUCAAAGUUGGUUAUUUAGAUGUUAUAAAUAGUUUGUGGAGGAAUCAAAAUGUAGGUUGGUUGUGUAGUAGUGUUUUAGGAUAACCAGGAGGUAUCAUUACUUUGUGGAGUAAUGAAUUUAUUGAACCUAUAUUUUCUUUCAAAGGGGGAGGCUUCUUGGGGUAAAAAUAAAGUGGAAGAUAAAUUUUUAUUAUGUGGUUAAUAUAUAUGAUGUUGUAUUUUAUGCAUGUAUAUACACAUGAUUAUGCUGACAAACAAGCACAAAGGAUACAAAUCAAGAAGAUUUGAAUCAUCAUAACUAGAUACUCGGCUAAUCUUAACAAGAUAGAAACACCAACCGGAGAACUUGCUAGGGAUGAAAAUAAAUCACCGAGGACAUAAAUCCUAACUCAAAAUAAGAUUCAAAUCAACUCUGCUUGGGGAAGGCAUGGAGAACAUGCAUCCAACCUAAAGUGUUGCAGAUAAAGAGGGAUCGGUUGAGGAUCCUUAUCAGAACAACAAGUUAUUACUGCAGGGAAUUUUAGGUCAACAAUAUAUCAAAUGGGAGACAACCCUGCAUGGGACAUCAACAAUACUGCUCAAAACUAAAUACUGCAUGAAGGAAGAAAUCUUCUAUCAGAAACUGGAGUUCCACUGGGGUCUCAAGUCACAAUAAGAGGUAAAAAUUUUGAGUGAGGAGAACCAGACGAUCUACUGGGGAUUCCAUCCAAAAUCAUCUUUGUGAAGCUUCAACCAGGAGGAUAUAGCAACCUGCCAGGACAAAUUAAAGACCACAGGAGGAUACAAAGAUCAACAAUAACUUCCUCAAAAUGAAAAUAAUAGUCAACAAACUCUUCUUGGAGAUUGAGAAAUAAACCAACUCCAAGGUACCAAAAUAUCAAUCGGAUCUGUAAACUCACACAGAUAGUUGUUGACAUUCCUUUUUUGAGAUUGAUCAUUCUUAAAGUAAAUGCCUUAUUAUUUUAAGAAAAAUGAUUGUUCAUUGAUUUAUUUAUUUCAAAAUUAUCAUCAUAAAAAUUCAAUUUUAAAACAAAAAUAAAUAAGAAUAAGAAAUAAUUGGAUAAAAGCUCAACUUUAUUUAAUAGAACGGUAGUCCACAAAUGGCGGGACUCCAUGGACCUUUAUAAAGUUUGAAAAUUGUAAUUUACAUGGAAAAUGGGCUACAUUUAAGACAAUGACAGCUACUCUUCUUGCCAACUUCGAAAUCCACUGUAUUUGUCUUUGGUUGGCAAUGAUGAAUUAGAACCAAAGGACUGCUCAAAACUGCUUCAAAGAUCAGGACCAGCCGAAUGCAGUUACUUGCCAUAAUCCCUAAUUUUUGCCUAGAUUGCCCCAAGGUGGGGUACUCAAUCUAUCAGGGUGAAUUUUUUAUGUUUUUGUGUCUAACUUUUGCCUGGAUAGCUCUUUAAGGUUUUCAAUCCACCGAGACGCUCAUUUUUUUGCCUACGCCGCCCUUUCGGGUUUUCAACUUAGGGAGUUGUUCUUUUCUUUUUAGGUAAAGUAUUUCUUGACUGCAUCGGCAUUCACAAGACGCGUAAACUCUUCACCAUCCAUAGUUGUAAGCAUCAGAGCACCGCCUAAGAAGACUCUCUUAACAAUGUACGGGCCUUUAUAAUUAGGAGUCUAUUUGCCCCUAGCAUCAGGUUUGAAAGAUAAAAUCUUCUUGAGCACGAGGUCACCUUCUCUAGACACACGAGGCUUGACCUUCUUAUCAAAAUCUUUCUUCAUGACACAUGGAAGUCAACCUCUUCUCUUCAAUCAAAUUCAGCUGAUCAUAUCUGGUCUGGAACCAUUCAACUUCUUUCAAUUUGGCUUCCAUCAAAACACGCAAUGAUGGGAUCUCAACCUCUACGGGGAGCGUAACUUCCAUACCAUAAACAAGAGAGAAAAGGGUUGCCCCAAUUGAAGUCUGGAUGGAUUUAUGGCACCCAUGCAAAGAAAAUGGGAGAAUUUCAUCUUAGGUAUGUAGGAAGAAGAAUUAUGAUGUGCAAUCUUGAAGUCUUUACAAAGAGCUUCCACCAUAUUAUUGUUCAAGUUCAAUCCAUUGUCAAUAAUGAUCUUACUUGGCAUACCAUAACAUCAUAUAAUUUGAUUCUUGAUAAAUUGGACCAUAACCUGCUUGGUCAUAUUUGCAUAGAUGUCGCUUCAACCCAUUUUGUGAAGUAAUCAGUAUCCACCGGAAUGAAACAAUGUAUGUUCGAAGCUUUGGGCUCAAUCAUGCCAAUCAUAUCAAUUCCACACAUGGAGAAGGGCCAUGGAGAGAAAAUUGCAUUCAAUAGUAUCGAGGAAACAUGAAUCUUAUCUGCAUAAAUUUGAAACUUGUGGCAUUUCUUCACAAACUUGCAACAGUCAGAUUCCAUUGGAAUGAGUACCAAAGGAUCCUUCAUGGACUUCAGUCAUCAACAGGUCUGCUUCGUGUCUUUCCACGCAUCUGAGAAAAACCAUAUCGAAAUUUCUUUUGUAAAGCACAUCACCAUUCAGGUAGAAGUUGUCUAUUAAUCUUCUCAAAUUCUUUUUAUCUUUCAAAGAUGCCCCAGACGGGUAAAUCUGACUUCGGAGGAAACGUUUGAUAUCAUAAUAUCAUGGUUUUUCAUCUUUGACUUCUUCAAUGGCAAAUAUAUGAGUUGGCCUAUCAAGACGCAUCACAGUCAAAUUAGGAACUUCAUUUCAAAACUUUACCAUAAUCAUGGAAGCCAAUGUUGCAAGAGCAUCUGCCAUCCGGUUUUCAUCCCGAGGAAUAUGAUUAAACUCAACCUUUAUAAAGAAAGUUGAUAUCGUCCUCGAAUAAUCUCUAUAUGGUAUCAAACCAGGUUGAUUCGUCUCUCAUUCACCUUUGAUCUGAUUCACAACCAAAGUUGAAUCUUUAUAGACGUCAAGAUAUUUAAUUCUGAGAUCAAUGGUCUCUUAAAGCCCCAUAACGCAAGCUUCAUACUCAGCCAUAUUGUUUGUACAUUUGAAGGUUAAUCUAGCUGUGAAUAGAAAAUGAGUGCCUUGAGGAGUAAUAAUUACUACCCCAAUGCUAUUACCAUAUGAAUUAACAGCUCCAUCAAAUACCAUGCCCCAACAAGAACUAGGUUCUGGCCCUUCUUCAAGCAAUGGUUCAUCACAACCUUUCAUCUUCAAGUACAAAAUCUCUUCAUCACGAAAAUUGUACUGCACUGACUGAUAAUCUUCAAUAGGUUGGUGAGCCAAAUGGUCAUCCAAGACACUACCUUUAAUAGCUUUUUGAGAUCGGUAUUCAAUAUCAUACUCUGAUAACAGCAUCUACCAACGGGCGAUCCUCCCAGUUAAAGCAGACUUCUCAAAAAUAUACUUGAUUGGAUCCAUUUUGGAUAUUAACCAAGUAGUAUGAUUCAACAUAUACCGGCGCAGACGCUUAGCAGCCCAAGCCAAUGCACAACAUGUUUUCUCAAGCAUAGAAUAUCGAGUCUCAUAGUCGGUGAACUUCUUACCGAGGUAGUAAAUUGCAUAUUCUUUCUUCACAAAUUCAUCUUGCUGACCAAGAACACAACCCAUACUUUCUUUAAGCACAGUCAAAUACAUGAUCAAAGGUCUUCCUUCAACAGGAGGAGACAGAAUCAGAGGCUUAAGUAGAUAUUAUUUGAUACUGUCAAAAGCUUUCUGGCAAUCAUCGGUCCAAUCACAAGACUGAUCUUUCCGAAGAAGCUUGAAUAUAGGUGCACACAUGGAAGUCAUAUGCAAUAUAAAUCCUGAUAUAUAGUUCAAGCGGGCGAGAAAACCUCUGACUUGAUUCUCAGUUUUGGGCACAUGCAACUCUUGUAUUGCUUUGACCUUGACAGGAACAACUUCAAUACCCUUCUCGCUGACAAUAAAGCCCAACAACUUACCAGAACGAACACCAAAAGUACAUUUAUUGGGAUUCAAGCAGAGUUUAUAUUUCCUCAAACGCUAGAAUAACUUCAACAAAUGCUCAACAUGUUCUUCUUCGGUUCUUGAUUGAGCAAUCAUAUCAUUAACAUACACUUCAACCUUUUUAUGCAUCAUAUCAUGAAAAAGAGUGGUCAUGGUUCUCUGGUAUGUCGCACCAGCAUUCUUUAGACCAAAAGGCAUCACUCUAUAACAGAAUUCUCCCCAGGGUGUAAUGAAUGUGGCCUUCUCUAUAUCUUCGGGUGCCAUUUUGAUCUGAUUACAGCCGGAAAAUCCAUCCAUUAACGAAAAGACUUUGAAUUUAGUUGUAUUGUCUACCAACAUAUCAAUGUGUCGCAGAGGAAAAUCAUCAUUCGGAAUGGCUUUAUUCAAAUCUCUAUAAUCAACACACGUACAUACUUUUUUAUCCUUCUUAGGAACAGACACAAUAUUGGCCACCCAUUGCGGAUACUCGAAGGUAACAAGUAAACCAACAUCAAUUUGUUUCUGCACUUCCUCUUUAAUCUUUACUGCCAUAUCAGGAUGAGUUCUUCUUAACUUUUGCUUGACCAGCGAGCAUUCUAGCUUCAAUGGCAUUCUAUGCUCCAUAAUCCUAGAAUCUAAACUAGGCAUAUCUUGAUAGGACCAAGCAAACACAUCAGAAUACUCUCGAAGAAGAUCAACGCUUUUAGACACAAAUGAGACCCAAUCUUGACUUCCUUCAUAUCAUCAUCGGAAGCUAAGUUGAUUAAUUCAAUCUGCUCUUCAAACGGCUAAAUGGAUUUUUCCUUGUGCUCAAGCAAACAAGAUAACUCAUCAGAUACUUCUUCAUUAUCAUUCUCUUCCUCACCUUCAAACACAGGAAAAUCAAAGUUUGGAAUGGAAAUAGGAUCAUUACAUUCAAUGGGUUUGAGAACCAACCUGCAUAAUGAUUUGAUAUUUUGAUUUUAGGUAAAAGGAGUGCAAAGAAAUAUUAUGCAGAUGGAAAGAUUAUUAUUUAUUUAUCUUUUUUUGUGAUUACCAUUUUCAGAAAAAGCAAAAAGUAAAACAAGCAUCAUAGAUGUGGAUGAAUAAAAUUGUAUUUUAUUAAUGAUAAUAAGGAAAAUGCCCAACAAUGUUUCACUUCUCCCUUGGGCAUAGGAGAAGGAUUUUUCUUAAAACAAUAAAAACAAAUUACUUUGAACGGUGCAUAACAACAGGAACAUCAACAACAAUCCAUUUUUUGCAAUUCUGGUCGUGUGUCACAAAGUUGGCACAAACUUCGUCUUCAUCACUGUCUUCAAUAAUGACAGUUGGGUGUUGAUCAUCCUUGUGAAUGAACCCUCUACUACGGAAAAUUUGUUGCAUAACCUUGGUGUUGGUGUUGAAUGGCCCUUGCUGAAAUUCCAGUCCUACUUUAUUCUUGUUCUCAAUAAUUUCCACAACGCGACCCCAUUUGUCGGUGUUACCAGCCUGAACAACCUCUUUGGCAUCCUUAAGAGAAGACAUGGGUGCCCUAACCUUCUGAAUUCCAUUAGUAUGGUCAAAGCUUGGAACGAUGUUCCAACUUCUUCUUUAGCAUCUACAUAGGUGAAGGGUGACAAAUGGCUUACUAACAACGCUUUCUCUCCACCAACAACGACAAGCUUGUCGUUCUUAACAAAUUUCAACUUCUGGUGCAAAGUAGACGUCAUGGCGUCAACUUCAUAGAUCCAUGACCUUCCCAACAAACAACUGUAGGCUGAAUGAAUGUCCAUCACUUGAAAAGUAAUUUGAAAAUCACUCGAACCUAUCUUAACCGGAAGGUCCACUUCUACAAUGAUAGUUUUUCGAGAACCGUCAAACGCUUUAACCACAUCGGGGCGCCUUGAGAAGAAAAUCUUGCUAAAGUUGACUGGGGCAACACAUUCAAUGAUGAUCCAGUAUCAACCAGCACAUUGGACAGAGCGUCAUCCUUGUAGUUUAUUGAAAUAUGAAGCUCCAAGUUGUGAUUUCUACCUUCCUUAGGAAGUUCUUCAUCACAAAAGCUCAGGUUAUUACAAGAAGUGAUGUUGGCAACAAUGUGGUCAAACUGAUCCACAGUAACAUCAUGUGCCACGAGGCUUGUUCUAAUACUCUCUGAAAAGCCUCUCUGUGUGCCUCAAAAUUCAUGAAUAAUGACAAGACAUGAUUUUUUUACAGUGUUUGAAGCAAUUACUCCACAACAUUGAAUUCACUUCUUUUAAUCGGGCGUAAUGCCUCAUCAUCAUCGUUAGUCUUCAAUCUACUAGAUUCAUCAGACUGACAAGUUGGAGCACUAAUCAAAUCAACUGCAGGCGCUUCUGCCUUCUUACCCACUGAAACAUAUUCCAUAACUUUAGGAAAUACCGGGCUAAACACACGACCACUACGGGUCACCUUCACUACAUCUGCAAUGCUCACCACUGAAUUUGCAAUUGGAAGAGGAACCUCUAGACCAUUCUCAAUCACGGUGGCAUCAUAUUUAUACAGCACAACUUUAUCAUAUGAGUAGGGGAUGGGGCCCGAUAACUGUAUAACCAACGGUGAUACCGGCCUACUUUCCUUCUUGCUGCUGCUAUCAAAUUGAAUAACUACCCGCUCAGGGGUCCUGAACACUGGUACGAUGACGUUUACAUCAUUUCCCAUAUACAUUGACUAUUGAACCUGAAUAACAUUCUCAUCCAUCAACUUUUGAAUAUCCCUCUUAACAAUUACACACCCUCGAGGGUUAAUGCUACAAAUAACACAACCAUCAUGGUCAUGUUCACAAUGGCUUACCAGACAUAACUCUCUGUGAAUCUCCACCAAGGACCUACAGAUACGACGGACAUCAAAGACCCUGAAAUUCCCAAGACAGUUGUCUACCAUGUUCACAGAAGCGUUGCAUGAGCAGGAAACAUGUUGGCUUUAACAUUUUGCGGUCUGUCCUCAAAGGACACCAUACCGCUUUUGACCAGCUUUUAAACCUCGUACUUCAAGGGAUAACAAUUUUCAACAUCGUGUCCAGGAGCUCCCUGUUGAAAAGCACAAUGCAAGUCAGGUUUGAACCACCAUGGCAACGGUUCAGGAAUUUGUGGAGGAUUCCUCGGUUGGAUAAGAUUCUUGACUACCAAGGAAGGGUACAGUUUUGCAUAUGUAAUAGAAAUAGGGUCAAAAGAGACUUUCUUCCUCUCAAAGAUCUGAUGAUGAUUGUUGUCGUUGUAGUUGGUACAUUGUUGCGGUUAUUGUUGAUGUUGUUGCUGAAUAAGAACUGAUUGAUUUGUUGAAUUAUUGGUAAAGACUGGAAUUACUGAUGAUACUUGAUGUUGAUGUUGACGGGACUGGGAAUUCUUCCCCACAUGAGGCCUUCUCUGCCUCCCUGUUGAUACUACAUUAGUUUCUCCUUCCUUCUUUUUGGAGAAGCUACCACCGUACUUCUUGCUCGCCGAUGCUUCAUCUUUGGAUAAUCGUCCCUCUCAGACUCCUUCUUCCAAUCUCAUCCCCAUGCUCAUCAUCUCGGUGAAAUCAUUAGGGGCACUCACGAUCAUACGUUCAUAGUAAAAUGAACUCAGCGUCUUCAAGAAUAUCUUGUUCAUCUCCUUUUCCUCUAGAGGUGGACUAAUCUGAGCAGCUAACUCCCUCCAUCUUUAAGCAUAUUCUUUGAAUGUCUAUUUGUCAUACUAAGACAUCAAUCUCAAUUGAUCCCGGUCAGGAGCCAUAUCAACAUUGUACUUUUAUUGUUUGAUAAAGGCCUCGGCCAAGUCAUUAAAAGUACAGACACUAGCACUGUCCAAGACCAUGUACCAUCCAAGUGCAGCACCUGUCAGACUAUCUUAGAAGUAGUGAAUAAGCACCUGAUCGUUGUUGGUCUGAGUAGACAUAUUUCUAGCAUACAUGACAAGAUAACUCAGAGGGCAAGUAUUCCCUUUAUAUUUUUCAAAGUCUGGGACCUUGAACUUCACCAAAAUCUUGACAUUGGGAACUAAACACAACUCAGUAGCACUCUUACCAAAUAAAUCAUUUCCUCUUAGGGUCUUCAAUUCCUUGCGCAUCUAAAGAAAUUGAUCCUUCAUCCCAUCCAUCUUUUCAUAAACAUCUGGACCUUUAGAAGGCUCAAAAUGGUAGAUGGUUUCCUCGACACGAGGAAGAGUAUGCACAAUAUGAGGAGGCAUAGAUAGGACCUGGCUAGAUGCCGGCACAGAAGAAAAUGUUGGCGCGUACCCUUAAGGAACAUAGUUUGGUGGCAUCUCCCACGGGAACCCAGCAGGCAUGGAAGGUGCGGACUGGAUAGCAACCACAUGCACAAAUGCUAAAGUGAUCUAUGAAAUGAUAGUUCUCUAAGGAGGAGAAGUUGCAGGAGGCGGAGAUGGUUGGCUCUGAGCAGCAACCACUGACUCCAUCAAGGUCGUGAGUAUGGAAAUCUCAUCCUUAAGCUCCAUGUUCUCUUGUUCAAAAUUCUCCAUUCUUCUCAGACGAUUAGCUCGGGUGUUAUAGUGAUGAGUCAGCUUGGCUGAUACACAGAAGAAGAACUGAUAAGACAUCUGGCGAAAGAAACCUGUUAUGCAAAUGAUGCAUGAAAUGCAAUGUUUUUUAUUGUUUUUAAUUUCAAGGAACAUAUGAAGUCUUAUUUGAAAAUAUUUUUCAAUAAGUAAUAAUAAUCAACAAUAACAACUCAACUGACCAUAAAAUCUCUUUUUAUUCAUAAAAUCAGAAGGAUUACAUUGAGUACGAUUUCAUAAACCAAAAUACAAAUACAAGAUAAAAAAGGAAACUAUCAUCCUAAGGAUUCUUAGCAACCGCAUCAGAUGAUCUGGCCAAAGAAGCGUAUUUCCUUCAAAUGCGUCGAAUCUCUGACUCCAAGGACGUCUUCAUCUAAGCUUUCUCGAGGACAAGGUGAUCAACUAUCUUCUUCCAAGCACCGAAAGGCUGAGGCAUACUAGAGGAAAAUAAAUCCUCUUGGUCUCUCUGUCUCUUCACUCCACGCUCCUCAAGAAUCUCAAUAAGUGCAUCUUUGUCUUUCGACUCAAGUUGCAACUCGUCAUGCUUUCGGUUCAAAGCAUGGAACCGCUCUUCCCACAAGUCUCCCUCUUGCUUCAUCUUGGCAAGUGCGUCUUCUAACUCCUCUAUAUCUUGGUUAGGGAAAGUUGAUGUCUCAACCAUAACCAUGGACAUAGGUCUUUCACAAGCGUACGAGAUCUUGAGCUCCAAAGCUCUCUUCUUCACCCAAAUAGUGUAAGCUUCAAAAGUUACACAAUUGCAUGGACCAAGCUCGGAUCUUCCUUUCCUAUGCAUAUUGUGCCAAGUAUGAACCAUCCUACUCUUCAAAAGUUGGGGAUCUUUACCCUUCUGAUAAAAUAGACCCUCUAACUGAACGUUAUUAGGCUUAUCUCUCAAGAGGAACCCAAGUUGACGACGGGCCAAAGCAGGGUUAUAGUUGAUUCCUCCUUGCGUACCAAUGAGAGGCACAUUAGAGAACUCACCACAACUGUCAAUGAUAUCCAUGUUACCUAAUGCAUAAUCAUACCAAACAAUAUCAUCAUUAAUGAGAGACAUAAGUCUCUGAGACCACCGUAGACAUUGCUUGUUCUCCAAGAAAGCAGGCGUCUGAGGCAAGUGCGAAAUAAACCACUUGUGUAGAAGAGGAACACAUCAUACAAUAGUUCCACCACCUUUAGAAUUCCUCAAAUGCAAAUAGAAAUAUGUGUCACCCAAUAGAGUCGAAACAUGAUUCUUAAUCAAGAAUAUACUAAUGGCGUUAACAUCAACAAAAUUGUCGAUGUUAUGGAACAAAGUUAAACCAUAGAUGAGCAAGACAAAGAUGGCUUCAAAAGCAUCCAUGCUACCAACUUGAGCAAAAAUAGUAGCUCCCCCAAUGAGAAACUCAGGAGUCAACCCUUGAAUUCCUCCUUGCUUCACCAAAUUGGCAUCAAUCUUAGAUUUCUUCAAAUGAAGGGCUUCGGCCAUUACAUGAGAGCAGGGAAUCUCCUAUAAUCCACUGAAAGGUACCUUGUUAGAUACAGGCAUACCCAAGAGAUGGGCAUACUCUUCUAACAUGGGCACAAGCUGAUAGUCAGGAAAAGUGAAGUACCGAUAGAGAGGGUCAUAAAAUUGAACCAAAACACUCAGAAGUCCUUGAACCACAUCAAUAGAUAAUGUAGACAAGAGCUUCCCAUGACAUUUCUUGAAGUCUAAGGGAUCUAAUAAAAAGGAUGAUAACUUCCUUAACUAUUUCAAAUCAGGACAUCUAAAACUGUACUUCUUAGUGUUCCUUCGUCCACAAUCCAUGGUCUGAAAAUAUUUGCAAACAAGACCUUAGUUUCCUUGAAAUUUAUUUUCUAUGAUGAAUGUCAUGAUGCGUAUGUAUGCAUGAAUGCAACAAUCACACACAAGGCAAACACAAACAAAGGUCAAGGGAUGGAUCAAGUAAUCAUCAAGAUCAAUCAUCCAUUUUGGUGGAUUAUGGUUUUCACUUUAUUAACACGCAAGUUCCAUUGGUAUUGAUGAGACUGAUCGGAUCAACCAAGAAUCAAAGGGUUUGUUGUGAGUCACGAGCAUGAAGUAGGGUUAAGAACCAUCCCAAAGGAGUGUACUAAGGAUAACAAACCUGUAGAUCAUGUUCUAAAAAGUUACCAGAGUCUUGAUCCCAUCUAUUGGAUGUUAUAGGUUUAGACGACUGACUCAUCAACCCAUAGUAUUCUUAAGAGAAACUCGUCUGAGUGUAGUAUCGCGUAACAACUGUUAUCAAGUCUACACUUGAACAGUCUCUGCACUACGUCCUAAAUAGGCCAAGUUGGGUUAAAUGUUCUACGGUCCUCAGCUUCUCGGACCCCCAAAUUAGAGAAAGUAAAGCCUAUCCACGACUUACUCGUGUGAGAUCAGUAACUCCAAAGAGGUCUCCACUGAGUGGGGGAUCUCAUGUCAACUCUUUCAGGACUACUACUUCAAAGCCAACAUGCUAUACCAUCCUCCUAUCCUAGAUUGCACUUAAGUUCGAGUUAGAACUUAUCUCACCACAUAGAGAUCACCAAGCACAACAAACAGAUUAUACACACAAACAAUAUAUACAAAUAAACAAACAACAAAAUAUUGCAUACAAAAAAUUAGGCUAAACCCAUUGAGGACUACUCCCCAGCAGAUUCGUCACUUAAUUUCUGUAGCGAUAAAUUUAUGACCAUCGAGUUAUUGGUUAAAUUGACGUUAAUAGAACCAGAGUCGCCACUGCGCUUUUAUUGUUUCCAAAGAAAAAGGGAAAAGCACGAACAAAACCCAGAGAUAAGAAUUUUUCAAAUCAAAACUAAUAAAAUGUCAGAGAUUACAGGUAAGGGGGUUGGUUAUACAGAGGGAAGGUAUUAGCACCCAAAGUGUCCUAGAUACUCCUAGGGAGCCCUUUUUUUGUGUACAAGUGUUUUGGUCAAAAUGAUGUUUGGUAAAAAAUAUAGAGUGGGGGAUGAGAAAAUAAUCCAUUAAUUAUAUUUUGUGUUUGACAAGACCUUGUGUCUUAUGCUUACGUACCAACAUAAAAAUGAGGGAUCAAAACCCCUCAUGGUAAAAAUUUCAAAGAAGUUGGUGAAAAUUGAUUUUAAUCGGAAAGUUUAAAAGAAAAGGCACAAAAGGCCAAAGACUUGAAUGAAGUUGUUAUUUCUUUUUGUGUUUUUGAAAUUUAAGUCAAUAUGAUUAAGUUCAUUCACAAGUUUGAUUUAAGAAAAAGGUUAAAAAUUCAAUGGCAUAAGGCCAAAGUUUCUAAUCACUAAAACAUGUCUAAGUUGAAAAACACAAACAAAGAAGGUUUUGAAAAGAGGGAAAGAUUUGAAAUUUAAGAAGUGGGAGGAGAUGAAGGGACUAUCCUAGAUAAAAAAAAUUAAAAGUUAAGAGUUGAAAAGAUUUGACCAAUGAGAUGUAAUCCACAAGACAAGAAUGUCAGAUAGAAACCUAAUUUCCUUUGGACUUUAGCAAGCAACAAGCAUAAGCAAUAUCCAAGAAAACCAUAUGAAGACCAAGACAUCAAAUAAAGAUGGCCAUAAUAUCCAAGCAAGCACUUCAAUAACUAACAGUGUUCAAUGUCUUCAAGUGUAUUAGAUGAAAUAUUCCUUUGACAAACUCACAGAAACAAUCAUCAAACACAAUCAAAAUAACAAUAUAACGAUUAAAAACAUAGACAAAAUGACAUAUGAACCAAGGGGCACUCAAGGCUUGCAUCAGAUGAAAGGCACUGUCAAAGAUAUCUCAGUCCCAGAAUAGUGGCAUUGGCCAAGUCCUUUAGCAUAGGGAAGUUGCAUACUUCUAAGUCCAAAAGUUCAGAUCAAGUCCAACAGUCCACCAUGAUAUUUUUAGGGUUUUUGGUGUUGUUAGGUAUUUUAAGGUCCUGAGACUACAAAUAGAACAAAAAUCACAAGUACAUAAUAUAUACAAACACAAAUGAUAUGGCUCAAGUGAGCAAAGUGAAAAUGACUGAAACAUAAACAUCUUACAUGAAAUGUAAAUGGCAAGGAAUGAUAAAGAUACUUGAAUUUAAAUUGCAUUAAGUAAAUGACUUGAAAGUAAAGCAAUGUUAAUAAGAAGUUAGUCAAUUGUUAGUGAAGAGUUUUAAUUGUUUAACUCAUUCUUUGGAGAAUACUUAACCAUUCACUCACAAGUAUGAAUACAUGAACCAAGACAUCAUCCAUGAGAAGGGCUCCAACAUGGAUAAAUCAACUAGUAUGCCACUAACUCUCAUGAAUGGAAAAAGGUCAAGUUUUCACACAAUGCCAUGAAUAAUGAGAGACUUACAAUCUCACUUACAAGUAUGUUAUGCCUUUUGGGACAAAUUUAGCUCUAUGUUAGGCAAUCGUAAUUGGACUUACGUAGAAGUCACAACUAUCUGAGGUCGAGUAAUAAAACUAUAGGUGUUAAUGCAUUUCAGAGAUAUGGUAUAAAGAACCAUACUCCUAAAACAUACCACACACUAAAAAAAGGAGGGACCUAUCUCAGUCAGGCUCAUGUUGAUUCAUUUGACACAAGGUCAUUGAUGAAUCAACUAGCAUUAGACAUGAAGAGAAUUCAUUGGUCAAUGAUGGAUUGGGAAAGAAUAGGGAUGAAGAUGAAGAGGGAAGGGGAAAAUAGAAACCCAAAUUGAUCAAAGAAGGAAUUUCACCUGAUCAAUAAUAUCCAUUCAUUUCGGGGGAUGAAAUGUACAUUUCAUCAACCCCUAAAUCCAAUAGUAUUGGUCAAACGUAAGUCAAAUCAACCAUGACCAAGGCCAAGCAGAAAGUCAAACACCACAAGAUCAAUUAAAUGACUCAACAAUAUUUUUAAAUAAUUAAACAAUUAAAAAUCAAUUUUAAAAUGAAUUAAAAGGAAUUUUUAAAUGGACAAAACCUCAAAUCCCUUCAAAACACCAAAUAAAUGGCCAAAGGAUCUAUCUUAGGUAAAAAAAAAAGGUCAAAGGACCUUAGACAAAAAAUUUCACAAUUUUUGGAAAGUCAGAAGUAUUUUAAAAUAUUUAAAAAUAAGUCCAAAAUCAUUUAAUUCACAAAAAAAAACAAAAUUAAUCCAAAAAAUGAUUUUAAUUUAGAAAAUGGAAGAGAAAAAUAUUUAAAGAUUUUUGGUGAAAGUCCCAUAUUUUUUGGAUUAAAAAUGAAUUUAAUAUGAAUUAAUCAAAAUAAAGGGAUUAAAAGAAAAAUCAAAAAUUAAAAUAUAAUUGGAAAAAACAAGGGUCAUCAGAUCUCCCUCAUUAAUUGAGGUGGCAAAUCUGAUGGGCACACGCAUGGGGAACACGAUGUACCAAGGUCAAUGCGCUGCAAACAGAGUUAAACAAAUCAAAGGUCCUCAUUAUAACAUUUAAACGUGAUCAAAUGGUUGGGAAUGUGCCAACAUACCACCAGAGCCCUAGUUGUGGUCUUCUUCUCUGUUGGACCUCACUGAACUGGUCCACCACUAACCUCCAUGAAAAUGAAAAGUGAGUACACUAAUUUAAAGGAAAAAUGCUUAGGAGCUCGAAUAUGGCCUCAAUUUCUCCUAAUUCCAAGUAUAUUGAAAGAUACAUAGAUUUGAAAUUUCAGGUGCAUGAUCUGAGUUGCUUCGAUUUGGCCUCAAAGAAACUCAAUCUUAUUGCCUACAUUGGUAGGACUUCAGCCAACCAAAAAUUAAUAGAAAUGAUGGAGAAUUGAGAGAGAAUUGAAGAGAGAAAGUUUCACAAAAAUCACAUUCUGUUUGCAGUGAUGAAGCUCGAUCUAGAUCUCAAUUGGCUUGGGCUUGCUUCUACUUGUUUAUAGGAGGUGAAAUGAGAGAUCAAAUGGUGUGGACUCUUGAAGUUUCAACUUCAAAACAGAAGUGAAAUUGAAACUCGAUUUCCAAAUGAAAACCUUCCAAAUUAUCCUUUAAUGGAGAUGGUAAGGUUGCAGGAGUAAAGCUUGGGCAAGGUGUCCCCUUUCUGAUCAAUAAGGCAGUGUAUUUAUAGGCUUGAAGAUUCAUUUCCACACACUUCCAAAAAAAUGUCAAAAAUAGUAACUCUUGUGCAUGGUUGCAUGGGCAUGCAACAAGGCCCAAAAAAUGAUGUGAUCCAAUUCCAAUUCGUGUGCAAAUGAUGCUGAAGUCCUAUCAUGAAGCCAUGCAAUAUGAAUUAUCAUUUGAGUGCAAAAAUUUCCAAAACAAACCAAGCAAAGGAACUAUGCGCAAGUCCCUUAAUUUUGAUCCAAAUUCCAUGAUCUUGGACUCUUUGGAAAGGUAACAUGAAGGGGAACAACUUUGUUGUUGAAUACUUUUCCAUUUGGAGCUUGUAUCAUGAUGAAUUUUGAGGUAGAAGUUGGAGAAAUCAAACAUGUUUGAAAAUUUUCUAAGUAUAAAGUUAAAUGACCACUUCUUCCACCUUGAAUAACUUUUGCUAUGAGCUUCAAAGGAAAAUGGUUUCUUCACUAAAGUUGUAGCUCCUUUAACUCCUCUUCAAUUUGGUCACAAAUUUGUCCACUAUUUUAAUCUUGCAUGAGGGAGUUAUAGAUUUUAGAAGUUGAGGAAAAUUGCUUGUUCCAUGAUGAUGGCCCAAAAUGACCUAUAAUGUUUCCUCUUGGCACAUGCCCUUAAAAGUUGAAUUCCAAGUUUCUCAAAGAAUUAAAGUUGGAGAAUACAUAUUUAAUUUGAUCAUGAAACUUGAAUGGACUUCAUAUCAUAAAAAUUGAGUCGGUUAUGGUUCUUGGAAGUUGACCUCCUAACUAGGGCACACACAAAAUGACCUAUAAUCUUUCACCAUAAAAAAAGACUUUCCAAGAAAAAUUAGUUGUUGAUGUUGUAGCGGGAAAUUCAUGAUCAUCAAGCUAUUGACAAGCUAGAGAUCAAAUAACAAGAGUCGCCACCGUGCUUUUAUUAUUUCCAAGGAAAAGAGAAAAAGUACGAACAAAACCCAAAUAGUAUGAAGUUUUCAAAUAAAAACUAAUAAAAAUCAGAGAUCACAGGUAAGGGGGUUGGUUACACAGAGGGAAGGUGUUAGCACCCAAAGUGUCUUAGGUACACCUAGGGAGCCUUUUUUGUGUGCAUAUGUAUUUUGUAUAAAGUGAUGUUUACAAAUAAAUAGAAUGGGGGGAUGAGAAAAGAAUUCAUUAAUUAUAUUUUUGUGUUUGACAAGACCUUUUGGUCUUGUGCCUACGUACCAACAUAAAAAUGAGGGAUCAAAACCUCGUAGUUCGUGAUACAAAUUUCAAUAUGGAUGCAUUGAUUUUUAACAAAAUUUAAGUUUGAAAGGCACAAAGGCCUAAAAAUGGUUUGAAUGAGUUAGUUAUUUUUGGCCUUUUGAAAGUUUAGGACAAGGAUAGUUAAGUUUAUUCGCAAGUUUGAUUUAAGAAAAGAAUUUUGAAAAUGCAAUGGCAUAAGGCCAAAGUUUCUAUCUUUUUGCAAACGUGGUCAAAGUUUAGAACAAAAGUAGUUCACACAAAGAAGAUUUUGAAAAAAGGAGGGAGAGAUUUUGAUAUUAAAGAAAUGGGGAGAAUAUGAAGAGACUAUCCUAUGCACAAAAUUUAAAAGUUUAGAGUUGAAAAGAUCUGACCAAAUGGGUAGCAAUCCAAUAGACAAAAAUGUCAAUAGAAACCCAGAAUUCCCUUGGACUUUUAGAAUCAAAAAAUUAAAAGUUUAGAGUUGAAAAGAUCUGACCAAAUGGGUAGCAAUCCAAUAGACAAAAAUGUCAAUAGAAACCCAGAAUUCCCUUGGACUUUUAGAAUCAAGCAACACACAAAUGCACAAUUAUAUUAUUGAAGAGAAAGGCAUCAAAUAAAGAUGGCAUCAUCCAAGCUUAUCCAUUCCAUGAUCUUCUUCAAAAUGGCCCAUGUAAUAGACGAAUUCAACAAGUCACAGGUUCAAAAUAACAGCUUCAAAAUGAUCAUGUUGCAGAUGAAUCUUAGAGAGAUCUUCAAGGAUGUAUCAGAUGAAUUCAAGUUGCAAGCACUUGGUUCUUCAACAAGUUGGCAUUGGCCAAGUCCAUUAGCAUAGGGAGGUUUCCUAGAUUCUAAGUCCAUUUGCUCAAGAUCAAACCAACAGUCCACUCAAAAUUUUUUUAGGGUUUAUGUUUUUAUUAUGUACAUUAAUGGUCAAAGACUACACAAACAAACAAAGUAACACAAACAAAAUAUAUCACACAAUAUGGUCCAAAUGGACAAAGUGAAAAUUACAUUAUCAUAAACAAUUAGAAUGAUAUGUAUAAUGGAAAAUGAUAUAAAGUGCAAAAAGUAAAUUGCAUUAAAGUAAAGGCUUGGAAUUAAAAGUUAAUAGUUAAUAAGUUAGAGGUUAGUUUUGUUUGCUUUUGAUUUUUCAAGACAUUCUUUGGAGAACACUCAACCCACUUAUCACAAGCAUGAAUCCUUGAACCAAAACAUCUUCCAAAGGAAGGAAAGAAGGUCAAGUUUCCACACAAUACCAUGAAAGAGGGGAGACUUAUCUUUGGAGAACACUCAACCCACUUAUCACAAGCAUGAAUCCUUGAACCAAAACAUCUUCCAAAGGAAGGAAAGAAGGUCAAGUUUCCACACAAUACCAUGAAAGAGGGGAGACUUACAAUCUCACUAACUAUAAUGCUUAUGCCUUUCAUGUCACAAAUUUAGCGCUAUGUUAAGCAUUCGUAAUUGGACUUAUGUAGAAGUCACAACUAUUUGAGGUCGGGCAAUAGAAUUUUGGUGUUAAUGCAUGUUAGAGACAUAGUAUAAUGGACUAUGCUCAUAAAAUAUACCACACACAAAAAGAAUAUGCAAAAGGUGUUGCCUAAUCUCAUCCAUACUCAUGUCAAUUUUUCAAUCAACUAGCAUUAGGACUUUGAGAUGUCAUAGGCCAAAUGGAAUGAAUGAAUUAAGAAGAGGAAUGAAAUGAAGUGGGAAGGGGAUGACAGAGAUCACAAAUUGGUCAAAGGAGGACUGUUAUUAAAUUAAUAUCAUUCAUUCAUUUUGGGAGAUGGAAUGUACAUUCCAUCAAUCCCCUAAGUCUAAUGAUAUUAACUUGACAAAGUCAAAUCAACCUUGACCAAGGCCCAACAACAAUAAGAAAACUCAUACAAGACAAUACAAAUGGUCAACAAAAUUUAAUUGGCAUUUAUUCAAUUAAAAAUAACAAAAUAAUGCAUUUAAAUCAAAUAUGUUUUGUCCAAUUCCUAAAAUCUCAUCAAAAUACCAAAUAAAUGGCCAUGAGAUUUAUCAUAGGUCAAACAAGGUCAAAGGACCUUGGAGAAAAAAUUUCAUAACUUUUGGACAUUUAAAAUUUUUUUUAACAAUUAAAAACAAAUGCAAAAUCAAUUAAUUCAUGAAAAAUAUCAAUAAUGAUCCAAAAAAUAAUUUUAAUUCAGAAUAUGAAAGAGAAAAAUAUUUGAAUUUUUUUGGUGAAAGUCUCAUAUUUUUUGGAUCAAUAUCGAAUUUAAUAUGAAUUAUUGAAGAAAAAGCAAAUAAAACAAAAAUUUAGAAAUUCUAAAAUACGUGGACCAUCAGAUCUCCCUCAUUAAUUGAGGUGGCAGAUCUGAUGAUCCAAAACGCGCGUUCCACAUGGAUGUUAGUCAACUGCACUAUACCAAUGGUAAUUAAAAGGGACGAUCAAGAUUAAAACGUAAUACAUGGAUCCUAUGGUUCACAGCCUUGCCAAGUCAUCGUCGGAGCCAAAGCUCCGCUCAUCUUCUCUGGUGGACCUCACCGGACUGGUCAAGAUGAACCAUCACCAAAAAGAAAAACAAGGACAUGAUCUUGAAGAAAAAAUGGCACUGAGCUCGAAUCUGACCUCCAUUCAUUCCAAUUCCAAGUAUAUUGAGAGAAGGACCUCACCGGACUGGUCAAGAUGAACCAUCACCAAAAAGAAAAACAAGGACAUGAUCUUGAAGAAAAAAUGGCACUGAGCUCGAAUCUGACCUCCAUUCAUUCCAAUUCCAAGUAUAUUGAGAGACAUGUGGAAUUGAAAAUUGAGGUACAUGAACUGAGUUGCUUCGAUUUGACCUCAAAGCAACUCAAUCUUCUUGCCUACAUUGGUAGGACUUCAGACAACCAAAGAAUCAAUAGAAUUGAGAAAGAAUUUAAGAGAAUCAAAGAGUUUAAAAUUUCUGCAAAAUACCUUCAAUGGAGGUUUGAACUUGAUAGAUCUUGAUCUUGCUUAUGCUUGGACUCACUUCACUUGGUUACAAGAAGAGAAUGGAAAGGUUUAGAAGCAAUGGAUUCCUAGAGAAUUGAAUUCCAAAAUAGUGGAGAUUCAAGCUCAAAUUCAAAUGAUUUUAUCAGGUUUAUCCUUUGAGAGUGAAGGGUUUUCAAUGGGGAAUCAAAGUUGGCGCAAAGGUGUUUGUAAUUCUGAGCAAUUGAAGCUCUAUUUAUAGCUGAAUUGGUUGAUAAUUGCACACUCUCUUUCACUUUCCAAAUUUGGCAAAUGGUGAUGUAAUGUUGCAUGGGCGUGCAUAGGCCCAUGAAAUGAUAGCUUGAGGUCCAAAUUUGAAGGUCAGAUGUGUUGAAGUAGGCUUGGAUUGCAAGGCACAUGUACAUUGAUGCUUGAAGAUUGAUCCAUGCCAAAUGAUAUCAGCUUGUUUAAGCCAUGCGCAACCUAUGCAUUUCUCAUCCAAAAUGAAUGAAUUUGACCUCUUUGGAAAUGUGAGAUCAAGAGGAACAACUUUGAUGUUUAACACUUUUUCAUUUGGAUAUUGGAACUUGGAGAAAUUUGAGGUGGAAAUUUGGAAAAAUUUGACAUAUCAAAAAUUUUCUAAGUGCAAGCCAUAUGUCUCAAUAUUCCACCUUGCUUAACUUUUUAUAUGAGCUUCAAAUGAGAAAAGUGUCUUCAUCAAAGUUGUAUCUCUCUCAAAUACCUUCAAAAUGAUUACCAAUUUCAUGUCAUUUGGAUUUUAAAUGAUAGAGUUAUGCAUUUUUGAAGUUUGGAAAAAUCACUUGAUCAAUGGUAUAGGUCAAAAGUGACCUAUAAUGUAGCCUCAUAUCACAUGUUCAAAAAAGUUGAAUUAGCUCCCACUAUAAACAUAAAAGUUGAAGUAGACACAUUUAAUUUAAUUGUUCAACUUUUAAAUCCUUCAUCUCAUAAAAAUCAAGCAAGUUAUGGCCUUGGGAAGUUGACUUUCAAAUUAGGGUUUAGACAAAAUGACCUAUAAUGUUUCAACAUAGAAAAUGAUUUUCCAAGCAAAACUAGCUCUAGGUCUCAACAUGAGAGUUGUUUUUAAUGUUAUUUGGAGUAAUUUUUAUCUUAGAAUAAUUUUCAUAUGGUGAAAAUUGUAGGAGAUAGGGUCUAGGGACACCCAGUUUUGAUUAGAUGAAUUCAUCUGGCCAACCACCAUCAACCAACUUGCUAAUUUCCAAUUCUCUUGACUUUAUUGGCUCAUGGUAGAUCAUAUAUGCAUAAGAUGAUGAAUUUAUAAGUGUCCCUUGAGAAAUUUGAUCAAUUGGUGAGAUAGCUUGUUGGAGAAGUUGCUCAAGAUACCCAGUCAAACUGGGGUUUCCAAGGCAAAUCACCCUCAAACUCUUGAAGAAAACUUGAUCAAUAUAACAUGUAGAGAUCAUUGGGACUCAUAUAUGAUAUUUAUAACUGUCGCAUCCGCGAAAAACAACUGGCGGGUUAAAACAAAACAACACAGAGCCGCCACCGUGCGUUAUUUAUCCCAAAGAGGGAAAGGAAACGCUCGAAGUAAACCUGGAAAAAGCAUGGUCUCGCGACCAAAGAGAAAGGGAUCGGGAGUCGGUUAUGCGAAGGGAAGGUAUUAGCACCCCUACACAUCCGUCGUACUCAACGGGAUCCACGCUCAACCGAUAGGAAAAGGUUGCUAAAACAAACAUCACACACACAAACAACACAAGUGGGAGAAGAGGGGAGAGGGCUCGCUAGGAUAUCGCAUCCUAUGCCUACGUAUCUCAUAUGGAAUGAGAAUCAGAGUUUCCGUAGUUCGGCUCACGCACGCCGAAACAAAACAAAACACAAAAAGGCAAACAUGGAACCCGAACGCCAAUCGCUGGACUUACAUGAGCUUCUGAACCAAACAAACCCACACUGGAAACCAGAUGCCACUUGAUGGUCUUAUACCGGACUCCAAGCACACAACAAGAGGAUACGUAAUGCCAAUUGCUGGGCUUACAUCCAUCUCCUACACACACGAGAAGAAACAAACAACAAAUUACUAAGGAGUCGGGAACUCGAGCCUAGCAACUGUCAAGCGAACACACACAAAAAGAAAAAAAGGGUGCCUAGAGAGAUCUCGUGCGACCUCCUGCCUACGUACCUCAUCUGGUAUGAGGAUCAGGGCAACGUAGUUCCCCUUAACAGGGGAGAAACUUUCUCCUAACCAGAGACUGGGAAAUGACUAACUAGAAGGGAUGUUGGACAAAACAAAAGAAUCCAAAAGCAAGACUUGUCAGUUGGCUUUACGCACAGUGCCAAAAACAAAGCACACCAGAAACAUUUCAAUACAAACAAAUGUGGCAACAAGGAGCCGACACUGGAGGAAUUCGUUCGGGCAUCGCGAACCAACAACUCAAAAGGCCACGUGGAGCCCGACAGCCAAUCACUGGGCUUACGUCGGCAUCAGACACCAACAUAGACAAUCAGUGAUAACAAGUAACGAGAAAAGAAAAGGUUGCCGGAGUGGGGUCCGCGGAUCAGAUCCAAUUAUUUUAAUACAACAAGGAUGGGCUGCAUAAGACAAUCGUCGUGGAAAGAGGAAUCAAGGGCGAUGUAGUUCCCUGAAAGUGGAUAAUGUCGUAUAACGGGACAGAUACCGGGAAAGGAUUUAAACUAGGGAAGUGAGAACUCGAGCUAAUGUUGUAUGCAUCGGGUUAACCCUAGGUGAUGGAAUUUUCACUAAUCUGACUUGAUGGAUAGGGUCAACCAAUCAACUAGAGGGGCAGAAAGACCGAACUAGCACAAGAGGACAUAAUACGGGAUAAUAUAUCGGAAGAGAGGGUAGGUCAAAGUGCAUGAUAAGUUCAGAUUCCACAUAAGACGAAGGGAAGGUUUAUUAAGACACCCUUAAGCUCUAGCAAACAAUUGGGGCUCAAAUCAUCAGGGUUUGACUAGCCUACAGAUGCCAGUCGUCUGUACCGGCUUGUGUUUUGGCUCGUAUUACCUUGGCCCAUACGAGGCUAAGGUGAAGGAUGAAGUUGGGAUGAAGUGAGUGAUCAGACUCUCAAGCUCUUUGGUCGCGGCCUAAAUACCAGAGGAGAGCUGACGGAUAUGCAGCAUGGGUCAGAAUCGCGCGGAGUAACCAUGGUUUGAUACUCUGAAUGACAUCUGAAUAGGGUCAUUGGCUUGCUGCGAAUGUAAUUGGGCUUUUGAAUCUCAAUGGCUAGCAACAUGUAUAGGGAGCAAAGACGCAUUAGAAGACUCCAACCUGAACUAAGCUGGAGGGAAAAAAGCGAUGCUUGUCUAACUUACAAUAUCGCCAGUUACUUGAAAGGUUAUCUACCUGUUGGCUUAAAAUACCAUACAAAAGGCAUUGCUUUAAGGAGGAAUUCAGAAAUUUGCGAGGGCGCGGUAACGAAGGCGGGUACUGCAAGACUAGAUAAGGUAGUAAGUUACCUGGAAAUGCAGUUGCUUAGCAACGCAUAGAGGAAAGUUGCAACAGGACUGAAGCAACUUAAGACGUACUUUAGGAGGACAAUCAACAACUGUAUUUCAUCAGAAAUGUACAUCGCCAACAUCAAAUACGAUGAUUUAAAAUAAAUAGAAAAGCAGCACAAAGGUUAAGAAACGCCACGCGUAAACACUAACAAAACUAAAGUUAUGUUUAGUCAAUUACAAGACUGAACACAUAAAUUGAGAAAUAAAUUGAUUUGGAUAUAUCUCCAUGUGCAUUUAAGCCUUUGCUAGCUUUGAAAUACACUCAAUAAAAGCAUUUAUAAGCACUUAGAUUCAUAGGCCAGCCUAGGUCAAAAAGAAAAAAUCUUAAACAGAGGCAUUUACAAAUCAAUCAAAUUAAAGGUCAACAAGAAGAGCGAGAAAAAUUGUCAAAAUCAAAACAAUGUUAUAAUCAUAUCUUAUCAAAGGCAAACAUUGGAACCGCUCAUGCUAUGCACCACGGCACUGUCUGAAGACACAUCCAAAGACCUAUUGAUUCAGCCAUGCAAAACAAUCAGGAAAAAAAUUAUUAAGAACUACACUAAACAGAGGCGGCGUAAUCAAAGGAUCUACAAUGUCAAAUUUGAGCUCACAUGUGGGCAUUUGGGAAACUAGCUCUAUUAUCAGAAUAAUCAACAAAAACAGACACUUAGAUUAUGCUUAGAUCUUUCCACUAGGGUCAAAAUAAGCAUACACUAAAACGUUCACACUAGUCUAAUUCAAAUAUCUCAUUGGAAACUAAAAGAAAUGGAUGAAGACGGAAAAACAGGGAGGUCUAAAUGUGUUUAGUUCAUGAUAUGCAACAAUUUCAUAGGCAUCGCAAAUAAAAUAUGAUGGCACUUUCCAAUCAAUCUACAACAUGUAUCACAUGAGUUGCAAUUUACAACAGAAGAAAUCAAGAUUAAAUUGAAAGGGCAGUGAAAAUCUAACAAAUUCAUCAAGAUACUAAACUGUCAACAGUCAUCAUGCAAAUUUCAGCAAUUCCAAACAUGCAUAGGUUAUCAUUAAAUUCAACAAGUUGACAUCAAUAAAGAGGUGUGAAGCAAUUGUCAGACACCUGUAAGGCCUAAGAAUUUGUUGCUUCAAUAAACAGGUAUCAAUUCAUGAAAUGUCAUAUUAUGAAUAAUACCUAAAAGAGGGAUUUAAAGAAGCACGAAUCAUCAGCCAUUUAUUUUAAUGAUAUGAGAUAUUAUAAUAGAUCAGAUUGAAGAUGAUUAUAGAAAAUGAUAACGUAGACUAGAAACGCCUAUGCCAAAAUAAAAUUGGCAGAGUAAACUUUGACCAGUAGGUAAAAAAUCCUAGGCAGUGGUCAACAAGUCAUAGAAAAAAUCUUCACUUUUUAUAGAUUUUUUUAAGAAAUUAUUUUAUGAAUUUUUAAUAGUGAUUUAAUGAUUAUUCAUUUAGUGAUUAACCAAAAAUGUAAAUUAACUAUGAAUUAAAAUAGAACAAAUGGAGAACGGUAAAAUAGAUGCGAAGCGGGGAGGGGAAACUUCAUUUUCAAAUAUUCAAAUGGAAUUGUGGAUAGAACGACAAGGCAAUUGUCCAGAACUUCAAUCUGUCCUAAGCCGAAUUUUCCAGAAAUCCGCAGAAAUAGACGAACAUAAAAUUAACAUCACAAUGAGCAAACGUAGUCAAUGGAUAACGUCUAUAUGAGGAAACUAUAUCAGACCUAAAUUUGUCAAUAUCUUCUAUGUCUCUAAAUCGAGGAACUGUUAAGGUAUAGAUGUUCAACUUUUUGAAUCAAGAAUUCUCUCAAUAGCUCGAUCAUUUUCAGAACCAAUUGUGUACUAGUUAAGACUAUGAAUCAUGCUAGCACGCUAUAAGAUAUCGCGUAAAUCUGUGAGACGUGACAUAGCAACUUGAUACAAAUGUAUGAGACCUGGAAAUUUGCCAGAACAUGUAUCGGACUCGGUUCUUCAAGAUGCAAUAUAGCAUAUGCAAAGACAAAGAUGAAGCUAGAGGGAAGGAAGGUACUUAGCAGGUGCUAGCUCAAUGUGCCUGCAAUGGCUUCUAUUGUCUACGUUAUGCGAUAGUUAUGCUAUUGGGUUGCUGGCGACCAUACUGCAACGCUGGAAAUCAGUAAUUUAGGCUUCAGCUCUUAUUCAGAAAUAAAAACCGCUUUCUGCAGAAGAUGAAUUAUUGGAGUUGAGUGCAAUAAAAGAAUUUCGUGCAUUUGGUUGCAAAUUGAUGGGUAGAUUUGUGAGGUUUUUGGCUUUUUGGAGUGUUCUUGGGAUAGAAUUCGAUGAAAGUGUGGAGAGGGCAAUUUUCGCGAGUUCCUCACACUUCUUGUUAGCAAAAUUGUGUAUGGGCUGAUGUUAUGCUUAGGAAGUGUACUAAUUGGUUUAUUCAAUUUAUUAUCUGCGUCUACUCAUAGCAAUUCAGGAAAUCUAGGUAAUUAUAAAUCAAUUUGGCAUAGUUCGUGAAAAAAAUGGCAAUUUGUGCCAACUGGAGGGUAAGAUGGAGUAAAUUUGCAUUUUAAUGAACUAGACUGCAUAAGGGGGAAGACUGACCCUGAGUGGCAAAGCAUCAUAACCAUUAUCUAAAAUAUCGAUUGGUGAAUCUGUGAACUUGUUCAUGUACUUAUUGGUUGCUUUAUCAAUACAAUAUUCCCGAUUUGUGUAUGCAUUUGGUCCAUUUUUGUCAUUCUACAUUAUUUUCAAGGACAAAAUCACAUAAAUGUAGAUUGAAAGCGUUUAUGCUCUAUAGAAAAUUUUGAAAUUCAAAUAACACAUUCUAAAUUGCAAUUUCACUCAAGAAGAGAUGUAUAGAUAAUAUAUAUAAAACCACUCUAUUUUGAAUUUGGACGAUUUUGACCUGGUCCAAUUUCAGUGUCCACGUAUAGAAAGUGCACUUUUUCGGCCUUGGCAGUUAUUUGGGAACAAAAAAAUUCCAAUUAUGCACCCUAAAAAGUAAAGCACAUUCAAGAUAGAGUUUCUGUGUAACUUUACUCAUAAGAACUUGACAAAUUUGGACAAGUAAUGUGGCUGAAUCAAUUUGCGACAUAGCAUAGGAUUACCAUGGAACUUUUUCUGAAAUUCAUGAUAGACAAUAACAAAUAUACUCACACACACAUAGCAAAACAUUUGGAUCUAUCGAAGUUACUUCACGGACUUUAUUAUGAUUAAGAAAGGUGACGAACACAGAAUUAACACUUGUAACUAAUGUAUUAUGAACAGACCAAACCAUUUUUCAUUUGAGCACAUUCCUAUGGAUCUAGUUUGUUAAGUUGGCACAUAACAACCUUCACACAUUUUUGGAAACUUCGUUACAGUACAAGUGCUAUUGGUUUUGUCACUGUUAUUGUGUCUGCAAAAAUAGAUAUAUAUAUAAUCUUAAAUAUAUAAUGCACAAAAUGCUUGUAUUAACAGCCUGUAUAUUUUCCACAUGAAUGAGGUGUGUCAUACAGUUGUUUCUUAACAACCUCAAACCCACCAGAUCAUGUACAGUUUUAGGCAAGAUAUAUAUAGAUAUAUAGAUAUGGCCUUGGUGGCACAUGCAUAGAUCAAAUCUGAGACACAUAUAACAAUAGAGAGAUAAGAGAUAAAAAUAGAAAUAUACGCUCAAAAGACAAAAGUGAAUCACUCGUAUCUCUUAUAAACCUCUCCAUGAUCGCAAUGAGGGCUGAAUUGAGCCGCAAUACAACUGGAUUGAGGCGUUGGGACGUUAGUGGUGACAUAGAGAUAUAUAUAUAACUGAGUGAACAUCACAAACAUGCGUUCUGAUGAUGUAUAUGUAGCCAAGAAGAUGAAGGAUAAUAAUAGAGAUAGAGAAGACUGAAUUUCACAGAUCCAGGAAUCAUCAGCAAUGGCCAUGAUCAGUCAUUAAACAUACGAUGUACCUUUGAACUUAUAUCCAUAUAUAGAUAUAGAGAGAGAAUAAGAUAUAGACUAUGUAAACACAAUAGAUAUGACAAGUAAGGAAUAGUGUCAUGAGAGUUGUUAUAAGAAAAUGAUAUGGGCAUAUGUUAAAAUGGUAUUGUACCCAGUAGAAGACGGGCAAAUUUUGAGAUAUUACAGCUGCAACUUACUUAAUUCAUCCAGCUGUGAACUGUCGAUAGACCCGAAUAGCCGGCGAGCUAUUCAAGAUGAUAUGGAAUGACAAAGGAUAGCAAUUGAAUACCAAGACAAGAGCGAACUUAUUGCACAAUCUGAUUAGGGAUGAUAUAUUAAGCGAAACAUUUAGCUGUCGCUCGAGAGAAGCUAACUCUCGAAGAAACUCCGUAUGGAUGCAGAGACUAGAGAUGAAAGAGAUAGAAACCUGGAUCACCAAAAUAGUGGUAACGCAGGGAUACAAAAACGGCGGCAAAAAAAAACCAUGUAAAAAAAACGCACCAUAAAUAACAAUGGGUUGUGCAAGGGCACGUCCCGCCAAACAGAAUAACGCACGCACUGGAUGCAACAUCUCGUUGUAAUCUGGCCAAUCCAAAUAGAAGAAAACAUUACUCACAAAAAAGAGAAAUAAAUAAAAAAUACUUCUGCUUUGGGGGGAAAAGAUAGAACAGCAGCACAGAACAUUGAAUCUUAAGGAUGGACUUCAGACAGGUCGCCGUGGUCCAACCGAUAAGACAGUUACGUCUUCCACAGAAUCUACAUUGGAGUCUAGUAUGUGCUAUACCUCAAUUGGUCCUUAAGCACCCAUAGGCAACAGAAAAUAGCAAGUUCACAGGAUGACCACUAUAGAACCUAACUCGUCGCUGAAUAAUAACUUCUACAGAUAAUCAGUACAUUAGCUCAAACAUCAAAACAGGACAAACUAAAGUCAACAGUUUAAUGUACACCACAAUGACAUCAAUGCAAGCCCCCACCNUAACUGUACACAAGCAAUGCAUCAAGCAAAGCACAAGCCAAUGCUCAACAUAAAUGACUUAGAAGCCACCUACAAAACAAACUUAAUGUUAAUCAACAUCAAUCAAACAAGCAACUCAAGCCAAGUGAAUUAAUUCCUCCAUGCCAUAUGCUCAUUGUCCUGAAAACACAACUCAAACAUGAGAAGCAAACCCCUAGGACAAGGCCUAGGGUCAAAAAGGGAGAAAUAUUUCAAAACAGAACAUGAAAAUUGGUACAAAUCAAGUUCAAUCAAAUUAGAACAAUGUCCAAGUGGUCUCACAUUCAUAUCACACACCAAUUUCAUUUCAUACAACAAAUAGUGCAAAACAUGCAAGUUCAAAGCUCAUUGGACCAAACAGAUCGAAUCAAUCCAAACUAACUCAAACAUAAUUCAAAAAAUCUCCAGAAAAAUCAUGGCUAAACAGCAUUCAUAACAUGAACUACACACCAAAUUUCAAGCCAUUUGGACAAUUGAAAGCAAGUCAAAUAAAAUCCAUAAGUCAAGGUAUGCAUAUACAAGUCCAUACAAGGCAUAAAAUCAUGCAUCAACUUCAAGCAAGCACAAAACAGAAUUGGCAUAAGAUAAAUGCACCAAACCAAAGCCAUGACAAACUUCAAGGUGUCUAGAAUCACUCCACAAAAUUUCAAGUCCAUCCAAUACAUAUCAAUAAUUUCACAAAACAUUUAAGAUCAUGACUCACAAAAAGUCCCCCAUUGGUCAAACAGAAAGGAAAUUCUCAAACAAAUUGGAAAUGCAUCCAAAAGUUCCAUAAAUAUUCACAAGUGAACCUAACAUCCAGAAGUAUCAACAUGCAAAAAUGCACAUCAUUUUGAGUUCAUAUGGCAUGGAAAUGAAAAUCAGGAAAUUAGACAAGAAAUGGUGUGACACAAAUUGUCACACCUACAAUGAUCAGGUCAUAUCUCACAAACAAGGAAUGCAAAAAUCACAAACUAUAUACCAAAAUGCUCCUCAAGGUCUCUAGUUUAUGCAUGCAAAAUUUCAAGAAUUUUAGAUCAAGCAUCAUCAUUUCAUGAUCAAAAUGGCAAGCAAGGUGUAAGUAACCACAUGUAUGAGCAAACCCUAGCAAAAACAGAAAUCCACACGUGCACAAUUUUUGCAAAAAUCAUCAUAAAAUAGUAGACAUGGCAAGGAUCAUGGCACAAAAAAUCCCAGCCAAUUUGGAUUGUUAUUUUUGAAGUUAUGAAUUUUCUAAUGAAGGAGAAAAAUUAAAAAUGACAUGAACAAUGGUACAUGAACAUGGAAAGAAUAAAGAAAUAAAGGCAAGGCAACAUAUGGAAACUGCUUCAGUGGAGGAUCGAACACGCUCCAAGUUUAAAUCCAGUGCGCGCUUGGCUUAAGUGAGUGGACACGUGGUCCAAUUGCACGGCCAAUAGCAACAAACACAUGCAGGCCAGCGAAAUUUUGGAUCAAAAGCCAAAUUCUGGAAAAAUCCCUAAGUUCAUCAUAUGUUCUUCAUCAUUCAUACGCUCAUGAACAUUUUCUCACCAAAAUCCACAAACCUUAUAUCAUUGGAAAGGUCUUCUAAUUAACAUUAACAAUCUCAAAUUGAUUUAACCUAAUUCUUCCUAAUUUAAGAGAUUCGAAGAAAAACAUUCUUGUGCAUGAAACUUAAAAUCCACAUAACUUGCUUGUUUCUACAUGAAAUUCAGUGAUUCAACUUGCAGUUCACUCUACUAAAGAGAGAGCGAUUUAGAUCUAGAUUCAAUUUAGAUACAAGAAACAGUUGUGAUCCCUUAUAUGGUUGUAAACAUGUGCGAAUCAUAACNNNNNNNNNNNNNNNNNNNNNNNNNNNNNNNNNNNNNNNNNNNNNNNNNNNNNNNNNNNNNNNNNNNNNNNNNNNNNNNNNNNNNNNNNNNNNNNNNNNNNNNNNNNNNNNNNNNNNNNNNNNNNNNNNNNNNNNNNNNNNNNNNNNNNNNNNNNNNNNNNNNNNNNNNNNNNNNNNNNNNNNNNNNNNNNNNNNNNNNNNNNNNNNNNNNNNNNNNNNNNNNNNNNNNNNNNNNNNNNNNNNNNNNNNNNNNNNNNNNNNNNNNNNNNNNNNNNNNNNNNNNNNNNNNNNNNNNNNNNNNNNNNNNNNNNNNNNNNNNNNNNNNNNNNNNNNNNNNNNNNNNNNNNNNNNNNNNNNNNNNNNNNNNNNNNNNNNNNNNNNNNNNNNNNNNNNNNNNNNNNNNNNNNNNNNNNNNNNNNNNNNNNNNNNNNNNNNNNNNNNNNNNNNNNNNNNNNNNNNNNNNNNNNNNNNNNNNNNNNNNNNNNNNNNNNNNNNNNNNNNNNNNNNNNNNNNNNNNNNNNNNNNNNNNNNNNNNNNNNNNNNNNNNNNNNNNNNNNNNNNNNNNNNNNNNNNNNNNNNNNNNNNNNNNNNNNNNNNNNNNNNNNNNNNNNNNNNNNNNNNNNNNNNNNNNNNNNNNNNNNNNNNNNNNNNNNNNNNNNNNNNNNNNNNNNNNNNNNNNNNNNNNNNNNNNNNNNNNNNNNNNNNNNNNNNNNNNNNNNNNNNNNNNNNNNNNNNNNNNNNNNNNNNNNNNNNNNNNNNNNNNNNNNNNNNNNNNNNNNNNNNNNNNNNNNNNNNNNNNNNNNNNNNNNNNNNNNNNNNNNNNNNNNNNNNNNNNNNNNNNNNNNNNNNNNNNNNNNNNNNNNNNNNNNNNNNNNNNNNNNNNNNNNNNNNNNNNNNNNNNNNNNNNNNNNNNNNNNNNNNNNNNNNNNNNNNNNNNNNNNNNNNNNNNNNNNNNNNNNNNNNNNNNNNNNNNNNNNNNNNNNNNNNNNNNNNNNNNNNNNNNNNNNNNNNNNNNNNNNNNNNNNNNNNNNNNNNNNNNNNNNNNNNNNNNNNNNNNNNNNNNNNNNNNNNNNNNNNNNNNNNNNNNNNNNNNNNNNNNNNNNNNNNNNNNNNNNNNNNNNNNNNNNNNNNNNNNNNNNNNNNNNNNNACUAAAGGAAGACUAUCAAACACAUAAUCAUCAAUUGCAACAUAAUUAGCCAAAAUGCACAUGAUUAGUGAAAUUGGAAAUUUUGGUGCACAUUAGCAAAUGGCCUUGUACAUGUAGUAACCAAUGGAACAGUGUAAUUUCUGUCUUGAUUCACUUGGAAAUGUGGUCCAGAGGCAAAUGCAAGUAAUUGCAAGUGAAAAUAAGGUGUGGGAGCAAAUUUUGGAAAAUAACCGACUUACCAACCAAAAAACAGCUUUUCACACAGUGGAAAAUACUCAGAAAACUGAGUUUUCGCACGAGCGGUCGACCAUAGGUCGACUCAAACAUGCUAUGCGCUGACCCGUGGUCCAUGCGCUGACCCUUAUGGUCGACUCAAACAUGCUAUGCGCUGACCCGUGGUCCAUGCGCUGACCCUUAUGGUCGACUCAUAGCCUGCAACAAUUUUUUUUUUUUUUGAAAGAAGAGGAGGGCAAAUUUUGAGAUGUUACAAUAACCACUCUUGAAUUAAUUUUUGGUUGUGCUCUUUGUUCAUGAGGGUCUCAAACCCUAGAUGUGGACUUGAUGAAUCACUGAGAUCAUGCCUUACCUACAAAAGAGUUACACAAAUGCAAAGACAUAUUUUGGUAUUUUAGUUAGUAAAAUGAUAAUAUACAAGUAUGAUAUAAUGACAAAGUUCUUGGUGAUCUCUCCCAAAAUAAACUCAAUGAAAUAAGGGUAAGGAGGAUGCCAAGACAUGAUCCCAAUGAUAAUGCUUAUGAUGAAAUUGCAUGAGGGAUCUUAGGGUCAAAAUUGGGGUCUUACAGAUGUCAACAUUAAAGUUGUUUGUAAUAUCAUAAAGAAUAACUUUUCUCUUGUAAUAAUUUUCAUAUGACAAAAAUUGUAGGAGAUAGGGCCUAGGGUACCCUAGUUUUGACUAGUUAACUUCCCCUGGUCAACCUCCUUGAACCAACUUGCAAACUUGAAAUUACUUUGAUCUUUGGGGCUCAUGGAGAAUCAUAUAUGCAUACGGUGAUGUGUAAUGAAGUGUCCCUUGAUAUAUUUGACCAAUUGGUGAAGAAACUUACUGAGGAAGUCACACAAGAUACCCAUAUGAAUUAGGGCUUCCAAGGCAAACAAGCUUCAAACUCUUGAUGAAUUUUUGACCAAAAUGAUAAAUAAAGAACAUGGGGAUCCAUAUAUGAUGUUUAGAACCAUUUUGAACCUUUACUUUAUUGAUCUCUUGCAUUUAGGGUCUCAAACCCUAUACAUGAGCUAGGUGGGGCACAAAUGGACACACACCUACAAAGCCACACAUAGACAUAUUUUUGGUAUUUUGGUUAGUAAACAAAAGAAAAUAAAGUAUGGUACAAUAAAAAGUGAUUGGUGAUCUCUCUUAAUGUAAACCCUAUGAAUGAGGGGGGAGGAGGAUACCAAGGUGUGAUCCCAAAGCUAAUGCAAAUGAUGAGACAACAUGAGGGAUCUUUGGGUCAAAAUUGGGGUCUUACAUCUUGCAUCAACUUAGUCAGCAACAAUAUGUGACAAACGAUCCAUACAUAUAACAAAAAGAUAAAGAGAUAUGAGAUCACCUUGAUGAAUACCUCUAGAAGGAUAAAAAACUAUCAAGUUUGUCCCCAUUGCAUAAAAUUUUGAAUGACGAAGAGGAAAUACAAUGAUAAAUUAAAUUAAUUAAUUCUUUGGGAAACUUAAAGUCAUGAAGACACUAGGUAACAAAUUUCGAGUUAAUUUGUCAUAACCUUUCUCCAUAUCAAUCUUUAUCGACAUAAAAAUCUUUUGGAUUUUCAUUCUCUUCAUCGCAUGGACCAACUUCAGGGUUAUUAUAAUAUUAUGAUGAAUAUCUCGCACCGGGAUAAAGUUAGACUAACUUGGCUAAGUGAUAUUAUUUAACACGGGCUUAACACAAUUCAGCAUAAUUUUAGUAACCAACUUAUAUAUCACAUUGCAAAGAUCAAUAUGAAUAAAUUGUGUGAGAAACUCGGGCUGCUCGACCUUCGAAAUAAGCAUAAUAAGAGUAUUGUUUAUUGAACCAAUCAAAGAGGGGUCACUCUGAAUCCUGCUCACAUAAUGUUGUAAGGAUGACGCCACAAUACCCCAACAAUGCUGGUAAAAAAGAGUUGGGAACUCAUAUUCAUCCAGAGCUUUAUGGGGAUCCAUAUUGAAAAUCGCCUUCUUGAUCUCUAGACUAAACGAGACAUUGUAUAAGCUUACCUGAUGAUCCUCCAAGUAAGUAAGAUAAGAGAAAAAGGAAACUAUGGACUCACUGGUCUAACGGGGUUCUUUAAAAAGCUAAGUGAAAUGUCACAUCACUAUCUCUUUCAUCUUCUUCGUAUUAUAUUUCCUAUAUAUAUUCUCAUUCUUAAGCUUUAGUAUUUUAUUCCUACUUCAUUGCACAAUGGUCUUCAAAUGGUAAUACUUGGUGUUCCUAUCACCAUCAGUAAUUCAUUUAGCUCUUCACGUUUGAAACAAAAAACACUCUUCAUGGUAAAGAGUUUGAGCUAAUUAGUCUUGUAGAUCACCCUUUAAAAGCCUCAAGAUGUCUACUAUAGCCAUAAUGAGCAAUAUUACGUAUACCAUCUAGCCUAUCUAUGAUUUCUUUCUUACGCUUGAAGAUGUUCCCAAAAAUGUCCUCGUCCCAAACCUUAAUAAGACUAGUCAUACCCUCUAACAAAGACACCAAAAUCCCUCAUAGAUCCACUCCCCACACAUCCAAUGCCCAAAUUGCUCAUGCAUAAGCCAAGUCGUCUUAAAUCUAAAAGGGCGCUCAUAAGGAUUAAAAGGUUCCCCUUUCAGCAUAACAAUGAUGGGAUGGUGGGCUGACUGGAAUCAUGGCAAAACUCUAGCAAACCCUUCCAUAAACUUGAGUCUCCACUCGACAUUGCAGAGUGCUCAAUCAAGCUUUUUGAAAAUACACUCUCUCCCCUCCCACCUAGGUAUUUUCCAAGUGAUAUUAGAACCCACGAUGGUAUUAUCCAUCACGCGACAUUCAUUAAUCCAACUAUCAAACCCUAUACAUCUAGAGAGGUCAACACACAACCCCCCUUUUUCCCUCCCCCGACCCUCUAAUCUCAUUAAAAUUCCUCCAACAUCAACUAAGAAGAAGAGAUGUGGGCAGAAAUUCACUUAAUCUCUUUCCACGCCAAUCAUCUCUCCACCUCUCUCAGGCUAGCAUAAAUCACCAUUAACACUCAAUUGUAAUCAUUGCCAUAACUGACAUUAACAUGGAGAAAAUGUUGAUUUUCUUGACUAUGAGAAAUCUUUAAAUCAUCUUUGUUUAUGUCAACCAAAUACCUCAUGCAAAGGCACUACCCACCCACCUCUAUCCUCAUCUUUCUUGCAAAAACCAAAACUCUACUCCCCCGAAUACAUCUAGUUUCUUGAAGAGCAAUCAUAUCCAUUUUAAGCUAAUCAGAAUAAUUUUUAAAUGCCAUGCCGAAAUUUCUUCCUCUUAAAAAUUAAUCUCUACUUAUAUACUAGUAUGAUCCAUGUAUGUAAAUAAAUAAAGAGUGAAACACAAUGUAUGGGUUACAGCAUUGAUUUACCUACACCUGUAGUAUUGAGUGAACUGAUCAUGUGUGUCCCUUAUCACUCGCGUGCCUUUUCUUUCUCUCUUUCUCGCACAAUAACCGCUGAAUCUGACGUACCCUUCCAUUGUAUUAUCUCUCUCUUGUGGGGUCUCUCUCUUCAUGUCCUGUCUUAUCACACUUUUCUCUCUCUCUCUCUGGUCCAUCUCUCUCUCUCUCCUCUCUCUAGUAAACCAUGAUAAGGUGCUGCUUCCUCCUGCAUUACACUGCACCUCGGUUUUCACUUCUCUUUUUUUUAAGAACCCAUUUCAACUUCCUCUCUUCUGUUUCAUGGACCAGAAUUUUUUAUCUUCUUGUUAAAACACUCUGAGGUACUCUCCUGCAUUCUCCUUCUCCUUUUCUUUUUCAAUCCUGGUUUUUUCUUCAACAAAAAUCCAUCUGGGCUGCGUCUGAUUUGCAUAAAGGUUCAUUUUUUCUUCCUUUUGUAGGUUUUUGUUAACUGGGUUGUUUCUUGUUCCGUUUUUUUAAGACAUAUUUUGUGUUGUACAUGUGUAUAUAUAUGCAUGUUUAUGAAUUUAGUUCAUGUGAAUUGAAUUUACUUGGUAGCUAAUUUUUUUUCAGUUUCAAGCUCAAGUCUAAAAGUUUAGUAUAUAUCUGUGUUAGUGUCUGCGUUUAAUCGAUGUGAUGCAGACUUUUUGAGUCCCUUUCUUGUUCUGUUUUUGGAAUUUCAAUUUAUGUUUUCUGUGUAACUAACUCUAUGAAAUGAUUACUGAAGUUUUGUUUUGGUCUUUUUCAACUUUUGGUAGGGUUUUCAUUCAUUGUUCUUGAUUAGAAUGUUACAUCAGCUAGUCAAAUUAAGGCCACAAAUUUUGACUAAAAUUUUUACUUGUCUAAGUAAUCAAUUAUUCCUAGAAUAUAUUUUAGUAUAUCUUUGAUUUAGCUUUUGGAAGAGGCCAAAGCAAUUUUAGAGCUGUAUAAUUAUUUCGGAUUAAUUUUGAGGUGUUUGGUUCAUCUGAUUUAGAGUUGAUUCUGACUCCAGAAUUAAUUCUACUUAGAAGUUAGAAUUUUUAGCUUUUAAGCUAAACGUGAAUUUUACAUUGAAAUUGACUGUUCAACUCAAUUUUGCAUAGAAUUAUCCAAACAUAAAUCAUUUUACAUUCAACUCGCUUUUAACCCGAAACAAUUUUACAUAUUGACUUAAACAUUCUUAGAACCAAACAUUCUGAGAUUAUGUGAUUGCAAUUAGACAUAUUGACUUUACACCUUGGUUUUGCAAAGAAUAGAUAUCAUCAUUUGUACUUGAGCUGAGAAACUUCAAUGCCUUAUUGAUUGAUCCUUGAGAACAUGUUUUGGAUGCAUUGUUUGUUUCUGCUAGAUUCUGCCUUGAACUAGUAUAUAUGGAGUAUCUGUUUCUUGUGUAAUUUUGUAUGACAAAUUGAUGCAAUUUUUCAACUUUUCUUAUUAGAUUAAUCAUUUUCUUUUGUUCCUGAAUGAAUUCACAUCCCUCCCGCUUGAUAGAUACUACUUUGUUUCACAGUGAAUUGAUGCAUUGAAAUUGUCAUGAAUUUUCCAGAGACAUUAUGAAGAUUUCAAGUUUUGAGAAACCGGCUGUGGGAUAUGUCCUUGGAAAUGAAGGAUAGGCAGCGGUGGAGAGCGGAAGAGGAUGCAUUACUACGCGCUUAUGUCAAACAGUAUGGUCCUAGGGAAUGGAACCUUGUGUCUCAGCGCAUGAACACACCUCUUAACCGUGAUGCAAAAUCGUGUUUAGAACGGUGGAAGAACUACCUCAAGCCGGGUAUUAAGAAAGGAUCUUUGACUGAGGAAGAGCAGCACCUUGUCAUUAGUCUUCAAGCAACGCACGGGAACAAGUGGAAGAAAAUCGCUGCACAAGUUCCCGGUCGCACUGCUAAGAGAUUAGGUAAGUGGUGGGAAGUUUUCAAAGAGAAGCAACAAAGAGAAACAAAAGGGAUAAACAAAACCGUCGAUCCGAUCAACGAUAGCAAGUACGAACAUAUACUCGAAAGUUUUGCGGAGAAGCUAGUGAAAGAGAGACCUUCACCUUCAUUUGUCAUGGCUGCUUCCAACAGUUCGUAUCUUCAUACCGACGCACAAGCAGCAACACCGGGAUUGCUUCCUUCAUGGCUUUCAAAUUCCAACAAUACAGCACCUGUUAGGCCGAAUUCUCCUUCUGUGACAUUAAGCCUCUCUCCCUCGACUGUUGCAGCACCUCCUCCGUGGAUGCAGCCUGUACGAGGACCGGACAAUGCGCCUCUUGUUCUCGGGAACGUAGCUCCUCACGGCGCUGUUCUAUCUUACGGCGAAAACAUGGUGAUGUCUGAGUUAAUAGAUUGCUGUAAGGAAUUGGAAGAAGGGCAUCACGCAUUGGCAGCGCACAAGAAAGAGGCAGCAUGGAGGUUAAGCCGAGUGGAACUGCAGUUGGAGUCAGAGAAAGCAAGUCGAAGGAGGGAAAAGAUGGAGGAAAUCGAAGCGAAGAUAAAAGCUUUGAGGGAGGAACAAGCGGUUGCGUUGGAUAGAAUUGAAGGAGAAUAUAGAGAACAGUUAGCAGGGUUGAGAAGAGACGCCGAGGCGAAAGAGCAGAAACUGGCUGAACAAUGGGCUGCUAAGCAUUUGCGCCUUACGAAGUUUCUAGAACAAGUAGGGUGUAGAUCAAGGCAUGCUGAACAAAAUGGAAGAUGAAGAGACAGAAACAUGAUUUUCAGCAUUGUGAUCUAGUUAAGGUUGUGUCUUUGUUUAUGGUACUUGUUAGUUUUGUUCUUGUCCCUAUUUGGAAGAAAAUGUUACUAUAGAUGCCUAUUAAUAUUCCUAUCUUUUCAUACAAUCUUGAGAACUUUGCAUUUGCAUUAGGGGUUGAUGCAAUGCAUUGUUAUAGUUAUUACAUUCAUCUUUAUAUUCAUAUGCCAUAGUAUGUUUAUGUAAUGGUUUUUCAUUUUGGGGUUUCUUUUGUAAUAAUCAACUUUAUGAGCAAGAUGUGUACUACUAUAUGAUAUAUGGUUUUUAGGCACUAUAUUUUAUUAUUGAAGAUGAACACUUGUUAAAUAAGUAACACAAAACACUCUAUAUGUGAGUAAACACAAUACUCAUCUCAAAUAAAAUGAAAUACUUAUUUCCAAUUUGUUAUUAGUCUUCUUAUUUCAAGAUAAGUUGUAGUUAAUUAUUCUGGUUGUUAGGCUGGUUCCACAUGUUGGUUAUUAAUUUAAUCUAUAUUUAACAUUUAUUUAUGCAUAGAGAAUAAUUGGAGCAUUCAUUGGAUAAUAUUUUUCGGUCUCAAUUAGUAAAGAGAAUGAGGCAUUUUCACAUAAUGUGGUAUAUUCCCCUUUGUAUCUUCAUAUGGUAUUUUUAUUUAUUUAUGUGACUCUUCCUUCCUGUUUUGGGGCCAAUAAAUAUAACUUUAAGUUAAAAUUGAAAAUAUGAGAUAUAAUUGUCAUGAGCGCUAAAGUAUUAAUCUUGCUCAUCCAGUCCACGCUACUGCAUCAUACACAUGCAUCACUGCGGAAAGAGUUUAUCUCAUUAGUUUAUCAAUAAUUUUGGUUCUUGAACGGAACUAUGAUGUCGUAUGUGGGAAUUCAAAUUUAAAUUUCUGUGAUUUUCCACAAUCAGAUCUCUUCUGUUCCAAAGCCUCGACCUAUGUAACCGUCACACUGAGAUGAAAAAGUAACUACAAAUCUCGUUUCUAAAAGCAUCUUGAAAAUCUCCGAUCUAGAAUCAUCUCAGAUCUUUGUCGUAGAUAUAAUCAACAAAUAGCUACCACAAUUCUCUCGAAUUAACACGAGUUAAGAUGUGAGAGGAAGACAAGUCGAUCUUAGGGUUUCAAGACAGGAAAAUGUGGAUGAAAUUUAUAUUGGUCAAAAAGUAUAGGUGUGUGUGGUAUCCCUACAAGAGUAAGGAAUACUUAGAGGCUUUAGUAGGUUUAUAACAAUUUAGGGUGGUAAGGACUUGCCAACAACGGCGAGAGACCAUGCAUGGUGGUUUUACGGUGUUCAUGGUGGUUUAGAGAACUUGCUCACGUGAGGUAAUAAGCUAUGUAUGCAAGUGUAGUGCUUAGAGUAUUAUCUGUAAGUUAUGAGAUGUCCAUUUUUCCGUUAGGGGAGAGGUAUUUAUAGAGGCCUUUGGGCUUAAAACUUAGGAAAUCCUAGGAUGUGGUGUCACACCUCAAUUUUGAUCCUGAUUCGCCGAAUUGAUACAUACAUAACAUCUUUUGCAUCUCUGCAUAUCAUAGCAUGCAUUCUAUGCCGUAUAAUGCCUAGAAUGUCAGUCAAAAUAAAUUUUUGAAUAUACAGACAAAUCGGUUGAAUCAAUUUUCAAAUGCGUGUCAAAUCAACGGGUGGAAUAUUUCCAAAUUGAGCUUGCAGACAUCAAUUUUAUUAAUCUACGGUUCACGUAGGUUAAUCUGGUGUGCUCGAUUUUUUUCGACUACUCUCUCAUUCAGAUUUCGAUCCACCUAAGCAUUUUAAGCAGACAUUUUUAUUUUAAAAUUUGACAAAAACCUGUAUGUUUCUGGGAAAUUUAUUUUGCGCUGAUUAUUGUGGUGCAUUCAUUUUAAUUUUUCGAGAAUUUUUGCACCCGACUUUUAUUUAUUUUUUAUCCUUUUAUUUAUAUCUUUUAGUCAAAAUGGUCAGCAUAAUUAAUUAGAAUUAAUUUGAUCAUCUGGUUUGAAUUUAUAUUGUGUAUUUUUAUUUUAAUUUAAUUUUCCAAAACUUAUAUUUAUUGUUAAAAAUAAAUAAUAAAAAAGAUUAGAAAAAUCAGAAUUUAAUUUGCCACUUGCCACUCUCUUAUUGGAGCUCUCCCCUCAAAUUCCAUCAACAAAUACGUGACAACUAGUGAUAUUUUUUUGCUAGCUCUUUAAGAUAAGAUUGAAAUAAGGAGGGACCAACUCUACAUCUUUACACAUUUGUAAACUAUCGUGCUCAUUAUAACCACACCACAAGCAUCACUACGACAGCAUAUGGAAGCAACACAACAACCAACAAGCACCUUGUUCGCUCACCAAACGCAAAAAUGAGCUCCGCCAUGAACGGCGUUUUCGAGUUCCGAUGAGCAACACACAACAUCUCUCUUUGCAGCAUCAAUAACUCAGUGCGGUAACAAUUGAGUUUCAUUUCGUUUGGUGUCAUUUCAUCUUCAUUCGAUUUCUGAUUUUAUUUGGAUUAUGUAUGUUUGUUUUCAUGCCUCUCGAUAUCAUUGCGUUUUAAUUGUGGUUGUUUUUCUUUCGAUUUCGUUUGCGAUGUUUAUGUUGUAACAAUAUUGUAGCACUCUUGAAUAAUAAAAAUGUAUGUAGCUGCUACUUAUGUUGUAACAAUAUUGUAGAACUCUUGAAUAAUAAAAAUGUUUGUUGCUGCUACUGAUGUUUGUUCUUUCCAUUUGGUUUAUAUUGGUCUGAGUUUGAU